AGUCGCAGUUUCAUUGGCUUCAAUGGUUUUCUCAACAAUGUAGUCUUUUGUUUUCUCGCCAUCCGCCAAGGCCUCCUUCGUCUUAUCCGUCACGAAAUCAGAAGCUUUCUUUCUAUAUAUAUAUAUAUAUAUGUUAAGAUUCAUUAUUGACAAACGAUUUUAAAAACAUAUAUCUACACCAUGGAAACUCAAUCCUCAACAAGGCCAUUAUAGUUGAUUAUAGUAUGUAUAAAACUGUUAUGAUGGGAUUAACCAAAAUAAAAUAACUAUCAUGGCGAGUACGUAAUGUAUAUGAGAGUUUUUGCGAGUACACAUGAAGAUAGCCUUAGUCACGAGAAAAUUUGUUAAAAGAAAAGAAUAUAGACUCACGUGGCUUCGUUGAGGUCAUCGAGGAUGUUGCCGUCACUUUUAACGGCGUAUAUCAACGACUUCUUGCGCUGAGCAACGACGACGAGCUCACUCUUCCGGCCAACUCUGACGGUACCAACACCACUCUGCUUUGCUCCUACGUUGUGGAAAGAAGAACCCAUGCCACUGAGAACAGCUCCUGAUAAAGACAUCGCCAUGAGGACUCUUAAAGAUGUUUUUUGGGAGGAAAAUAAAUACAAGAAAGAGUUUUAAGAUGGAGAAAGUGAGAUGAGAAAAAUCUAACCUCCAAUAGUAUCGUUUUAUAGAUCUCUCGACCAAUGAGAAUCCAAAACUACACGUGUGAGUGCUAGAUAUUUUUGCGCAUUGCUAUUAUCUUUAACUAUCGAAUAAGAAGAGUUUUCGUUGGUUCGUACUAGUUACGUGUAACCAUUUCUAUGGUUACCAAAAGAAAAAAGAGGUCGGCCAUCAAGUUGUGGUUAUAACCGUUAUACACAUGUUAGCAUUUUUGGCUACGAUAUUUACAUGUUAGCAUUUCUGUUUUAUUUGCAACUUUCAACAUUAAUAACUAGACUCGAUAGAGAUAUAUAUAUAAAGGAAAAAUGUAUUAGUCGUUAAGCUGAAAAUGUACAAGUCUUUGUGUAUGUCUAUUUAGUCAUUUUUAGCAAUUAGCUAGGUUAAAACAACUUUUAACAUUUUUUCAAUUAAGUACAAACUGUAGUUAAACUACUAAUAGUAUAUAGAUAUAUUUCUAAGAACCUAAUACUCCAAUGUUAAAUAAACAAAAACAAAAACUCACACUUCAAUGCCUAAUUGUUAUACUAUAAUUAUAAAUACCAAUGUUACUUUCAAAUAUAACUAUUUUGCUCAACAGCAAAAACGCUAUUUACAAUGCCUAAUAUUUUUUUUUUUGAUAAAUAUGAAAUAGAGCAUGUACCAGCCAAGAAUGAGCUUAUUAGAUAUGUCCCACAUUGGUUGGGUAUGUGAGUAAUGUGCUCCUUAAUUAUGUGGUGUGGCAUACCGACUUCUAGAUGAUAUGUUUGUGACGGGAGAUGAGGUGAUAAUUUGUUGGUGCCGGACCAUAAUUUUUCCUUCCACGGAUUGUAAUUCACUGCUUGGAAUGGCUAAGUGGAUCAAUGUUGAUUACAAGCCACCAAAUUUUGAAGUUUUUGGUACAACAAUGUAUCAUACCAAUUCGAUGUCAUACCAAACAGUAAAUAGUGGACAUGCGAAGAAAAAAAGCAGUUCCUCUUUUAUUGGUUCGUCACAAAAGAGACAAGGCUAUCGAUCUCCCAUAUGCUCUCAUCCUUUCACCGUUGAAAGACUCUAGACGGCGAUGUUACUUAUAAUUACUCAUUAUUUAAUUUUGUCUAUUGAAUAUUUUGCAAAACAUUAAAGAAUGUGACGGUGACUGUGGAUACCAUAUCUUAUUUCAGUUGUGAUGUGAAAUUAAUAGAAAUUACAACAGACUCAUCUUAUUGUAAGUACUAUUAAACAUGAAGAGAGAGGAUAUGGAUCAAUAUAUCUACGAGUUUAAGUGCUUGAAAUUAACUGAUUAGGUAAGACCCUACUUUGUGGCAUCCUUAGCCUCUCCUGCUUUACCCUCCGCGAACUCUGCCGCCUUGUUUGCGGCUUCUUUUCCUUUCUCCUCCACAUACGCCGCAGCUUUCUCAGCUUCUUUACCCAAUGUAUCUGCGGUUUCACUGUUUUUUUCAACAACGUAGUCUUUCGCUUUCUCACCAUCUGCUAAUGCCUCUUUUGUUUUAUCCGUCACGAAAUCUGAAGCUUUCUUUCUAUAUCAUUUUCAAAUUAAAAUUUAUUUUAGUAUUUAUCAAAGGUUUCAAAACACAUAUCCAAAAGUAGUCAACAGAAUCAUCAAAUAAACUUAGAGCUAUACAUGUAAACUAGAAAAAUAGAGAUAUAUAAUGUACGGUAUAUGAAUCUUUAUCUUUGAUAAUAGUCAAAUAUGAUCAUAAAAUAAGUUCAAAACAAACAUAUUUCCACUAAAAUCUAUACUAAUAUAGUAUACCAUAAACAUUGCCUGCUAAGAUCCUUACUUAUGAGGCAAGAUACUAAAAGAAGAAAGAAUGUAGACUUACGUGGCCUCGUUGAGGUCAUCGAGGAUGUUGCCGUCACCUUUAGCGGCGUAGAUCAACGACUUCUUGCGUUGAGAAACGACGACGAACUGAGUUUUCUGGCCGACUCUGACAGCGCCGAAGCUGCUCUGCUUGGCUCCGCUGUGGAAAGAAGAAGCCAUACCAGUGAGAACAGCUCCUGAGAAAGACAUCGCCAUGAGAGAGAUCUUUAAGAUGUGAGAAUAAAAAGAAGUUUUUGUUUGGAAAUGAAAGGAGGAGUUUUUAGAUGAACAAAGUGAGAUGAGAAGAAUCUAAUCUCCAAUAGUAUCGUUUUAUAGAUCGAUAGACCUAUUACACUCCAAAAUUACACGUAUUAAGAGUAAGAUAUUUUUUGCACAUUACCGAGUUUCUGUUCGUUCUUUUCAGGCCACGUGUAAUCAUAUUUGUGGUUUUCAGAAAGAAGAAGAAAAAAAAAGCAGGUCGGCCAUGAAAUUGUGGCUACAUACAAAUUGCAUUUUUGGUAACAAAAACUUACAUGUUAGCAUUUCUAGAUUUCUUUUUUUCAAUUUCCAGUACUACUUAAGAGGGUCGUUCUCAUUUCCUUCACGUGUAUUUAUUGACGUUUGUUGUUAAAUUUGUAAUAGAAACAAAUGUAUGUCGGCCAACAAGUUAAUUUGGGUUUGCAAGCCCAAAUCUACCAAAAGCCUACACAAAAUAAACCGACAAGGUUGCAAGCCUAAAUGUAAAACUAAUAGCCCAAAUGAGUUGAAACCACAAACCAUUUUUUACAUGCUGAAAAUAAUCUUAUCUCGUUUAAGAAUUUUACAGUGGUAUAGAAUUCAAUUCUCAUAGAAGGCGAAUAUAUACGGAUUAAUUUAAAUAAAUUUAUGCCAUUGUCUAACGUUUCUUGUGGAUUUUUGUUGUGAAAAGAUUGUCAAUUGUAAAAAAAAAAAGGUUAAAAUCAUUACUUGUAAUAGAAUCGUUUCGUAAUAAUUUUUCUCUCUGAUGUAUUUCCUUAAAGAAAAAAAAAAUUGGAAUUCUGAUCAUAGAUCAGUCUUUAAAAAAAAAAGUCUAGAGAAUCUGACGGACAGUAACAUCUCCUAAUUCAAUAUGAAAUAGAAAAUGCAAUAAUUUAAUUUUGUAAAAAUUUAAAAUGAAGUCCAUUAAAAAAAAAGUCUAAAAUAAAUUCAACGGACAAGAUCUAUUAUUACUUGUGAACAGCGGUAGAUUAUGGAGCGUGCUUACACUCUCUCGACGUUUAUAAGUCACAGACUUGAAAAAACCCUAAAGCUACCAAAGUUUCCUUUUUAACUCUCUCUAUCUGUCGCUGCAACUUUUCAAGAGAUUCGUUUUUUUCUAGGGUUUUUAAUUACAGUUCAAAGUUACCAAAAACCUUGAGAGAUACUAAGAGAUUCGAAGCAUAAUAACUCUUGUUGUUGUUCCGAAGAUGCAACCAAAAACAGAGUUCGUGAAGUUCUUGAGAAAAGGUGCGUAUGGAUCAGUCGAUCUCGUCAAGUACAUCAAACGCGACGAUAACGCUUUGCCUCUUUACGCCGCCGUGAAAACCGCCGAAUGUGAAGACUACAACUCUCUCGAAAGAGAAAUUCAGAUUCUAUCCAAACUUGAAGGAUGUCGAAGGAUCGUGCAAUGCUAUGGGAAUUAUACUUUAGAAGAGGACUUCGAUGUCGGUGGAUUCCGAGUCUACAAGAUGGUUAUGGAGUACGCAGCUGCAGGGAGUUUAUUCAGUUUCAUGGACAGUUACAAAGAUAGAAAGUUACCGGAAACGAUGAUUAAAGACUUUACUCGUAUGAUUCUUCAAGGAUUAGUCUCUGUUCAUAGACUCGGUUAUGUUCAUUGCGAUCUAAAACCCGAUAAUCUACUUGUCUUUCCAUGUAGACAAUCUUACGAAUUGAAGAUUUCAGAUUUCGGGUCUUCGAGAAAAGUCGGAGAAUAUUCUGAUUGCUGGGAUGUUGAUUUGCCGUUUGUUGGAACGCCUGUUUACAUGUCGCCAGAAUCAGUCCGUAGCGGCGUGGCUGAGAAAGCCCUAGAUUUGUGGUCGUUAGGGUGCAUAGUAUUGGAGAUGUAUACCGGUGUGAUUCCAUGGUCGGAGGUUGAAUUUGAGGAUCUUGCGCCUGCUCUAUCAAAAGGUAAAGCGCCGGAGAUUCCAAAGAGUUUACCGUGUGAUGCAAGGAAGUUUCUAGAGACGUGUUUUUCAAGGAACCCUAAGGAGAGAGGAAGUGCUUCGGAUUUAUUGUCUCAUCAGUUCUUGCGUGGUGAAGUGGUCUCCGGCUUCUCGCUUCCGCCGUUGAAGUUGAAGAUUAAACUAGCACCGGAGAAACCGACGAAUGUUUCGAAGAAGCCCUUGAAGCUAAAGAUUAUCCCACCAAAGCCCCCACAGUUUAAGAAAGGUGGGAUUAAACCCUUGAAGUUGAAGAUUAUGCCUUUGAAGCCUCCAGCUUCUAGUUUCGUUUCUGUUCAAUAGUCUGUUGAAAAUUCGUAUCUGUUUCUUAGUUUAGAAUUGUAGAUCAAGUUACAUAAUGUUACCAAAAUGUAGAUCUCAAUUCACAAUGUGUGUUACACCAUUAACUAUGAAAUACAGUUUUGCUUGAAUAAUUUCGUUUCGUACACUCAUAUAUGCAGAAAAGCUCAUUCCUUUUUGAAUACCAAAUACCAUUCUUGCUUCUCUAUGCUUUGCCUAUCAUCAAUUCUUCUUUGUCUGCAACAAAGUUUGGGUCUCUAUAUGUGGGACAUUGGGAUAAUUAUUUGUAGCAGUCAAUUUGUUUGUUACAAUGCCUGAGAGAGUCCUUUAAUACCAAUAUGAGUCGUAUAUUACAAGGAUCACUACAACUUAGUUUUGUAGAGUAGAUAAAGGUUGGUACAGUUUCAUUUCAAAGGAAACCACUAAUAUAUUCUUCAAACUUCUUAACAGAAACAGAACUUUUUUUGUUAUUUACCACAAAACUCUGUCAAACAGAGCUUCUUGUUAUUUACAUACAAAAAAACAAAAGACCUUUUUAAGUAAAGCAAAAACACACCAAAACAUUUCUCCAUUAUACAUUACUUUUCAACGUUGUCCAUGUUCCCGUCUCAUAUAGUCAGGAUCAGUAGUUCCAUGCUCAUGUGUCCUCACAGGCGCAUCACCAAUCACUAUGUUCUUUGUCGUCUGUGCAAUCUCAGCUAUAGUCUCGCCGAUUGCCCCAAGCACCCCUCCCGCUCCAACCCCUUCUUCUUCAACAUAUCUCUCACUGCCUCUUCCUCCUCCGUAUUCUUCUCCAACGUCUCUCCUUGCUUCUUCGACCGUGCCUUUUGGUCCAUAUCCGAAGACAUCUUUCUCACUCCCUCUUCCGUACUCUGCCUCCCCAACAUCUCCCCUCCCUUCUCCGGGUAUUCCUUUUGCUCCAUAGCCGUAGACAUCUUUCUCACUCCCUCUUUCUUCCCCGUACUCUUCUCCAAAGUCUCUCCUUGCUCCUGAGACAAACCCUGGUUGCUUUUCUUCCUCACCUCCCUCAAAACAAAUCCAAAACACAGUUUCUUGAGUAACACGAAACACCACCAUACUACAAUGAGCUAAAACGAUCUAGCUUUACUAUUCAAGUUGUGCAAUACCUGAUGCAUCUCUUGGUCUCUGUGUUGAGCUUCCUCUUUCUUCCUCGCCGUAUACCCAACCACCGUAUCAGCAGCCACUGCAGCUUUCUCCUUAGUCAAGUCCACUGCCUUAGAUCCUACUUCCACCGCCUUAUGCCCUGCGUACCCCACAGCACCUUCCACUGUACCUGCAACCGCUUUCGUCCCUUGCACCACUUUCUCCGUGGUGAAAUGUGCCGCUGUCCACCCAACCGCAGCGGCUUUCUCAGCUGCCACUCCUGCAUAAUGUGCAGCUCCUUUUCCUCCUUCCACUGUCGUUUCUUUUAUGUACCCAGCUGCUUCACCGGCUUUCUGAACAGUAUAAUCUUUAGCUUUUGCUGUCAUUGAAGCUGCCUCUUGCCCUUUCUGAGCUGCAACAUUUCCGGCUUGUUUUCCUGUCUCUGUCAUGUAUUCUGAAGCUCUCUGAGCUUUCUCAGCUGCAACAUCUUUAGCUUCCACAGCUUUCUGAAGAGUGUAAUCUUUAGCUCUCGCAGCCUGUUCAGCCGCUGUGCUUCCUGUUUCCUUCAUAUACUCGGAAGCUCUCUGAGCUUUCUCCGCCGCAGUCUCUUUAGCUUCAACAGCUUUCUGCAGAGCAUAGUCUUUUGCUCUCGCCGCCUGUUCAGCUGUCAUAUUUCCAGCUUCUUUUCCUUUCUCUGUUGCAUACUCGGAAGCUCUCUGAGCUUUCUCACUCGUAGCACUGCCCGCUUUCUGAGCACCUUCUCCUACACUUUCCUUAGCUUGCUGUCCUUUCUCGGCUACCGUAUCUUUUACGCUACGACCACCAACACCACCUGCUGAUUCUUUACCUUCACGUUCUCUCAUCUCCUCACCUCCGGCAGCCAAAAGCUCAGCAUGUCGUGCUUUCUCCCCAUGAAAGCCAUGUACACCACUCUCUUUUUCCUCACCUCCACCACCGCCACCAACAGCCCCAACGUGAGAAACACGGACACCACUGUCCCGCCCUUUUCCCACCAUUUCUUCACCUCUUCCUCCACGAGCUUCUUGUCCACUAUGGCUCAAACUCUCCUUAGCCUUGUUAUACCUUUCCUCUGCUGCUUUUAUACUAUCCAUUGACUUCUGCUGAGCAUUGGCUCUAUACCCAUGAAUAUCCUCUAGCGACGCCUUCUCAUGCUCCUCUUUCUCAUCCUUCUUCUUCCCUGUUCCUGAAUCGCUGCUAGUAACGAAUUUUCCAACGGAGUGAGGCAUCUGAGUCCUCUUCAUCUUCGUCUCUCCCUCUCCUUCAUCAGAAACCGGCAUGUUACUCCCCUUGUCUGAGAGAGACACGAACUGUGUCCCACCACCUUCUGUUUGAUGCCUGUGUGUGUCGGAAUCUUUGCCUUUUUCGGCCAUGGACUCGAAAUGACUCGUCAUCUUUGGGACUCUGUCUUUCUCCACCUGAACUUCUCUCUCCGUCACCUUGUUUUCUCUCCUUGCUUGCUCUGACGCCAUUGUUAAUGCUAACGAUCACUUCCAAAAACACAGUUUUACUUUCAAGAUGAUAGUUUGAUAAUGCUUUUUUCUGUUUUCUUUAUCUUUGUUGAUUCUUAUCGAGCUGCUUAAGUCCUGCUUUAUAAUCAUAGAACCGAAAAGACAAAAUUUGGGCGGUCAUGAAGAUUGGAGAAAGGUGUGUGACGUGUUGAGUUUACUAUUGAAACGUGUAGGAGAGGCACGAUGACUCAGCUUGUGGGAAGAGAUCAGUUUCAAUAUUAGCGAGCCAAUAGUCUUGCUUUCCUCCACGUAUCUUUCCGUACAUGUGCACGUGGAGUCUUUCCGGUGCACUUUUGCCUCUCAUAGUCUCAUGAUUUUAUCUCUACUACGAACCAGCCGACCACUUCAUCAGAUAUGGGCUUCUUCAGGCCCGCCCACUCAUCUCUAUUAGGCCCAAUAUAUCUUACUCUAAGCCCCCAUUUAGCUUAUUACUCGGAAAAUUUCAUUAGCAUACUAAAUUCUUCAUCCUCCGUUGUAUAAUCUUUUCUUGACAUGUUUUCUCAUUUCACAGAGUCAAGUGCGUUGGUCUUAUUUAAGAGUUGUUUCAGUCAAGAAACAAACAACCAUAGUGAAAGAUAACUAAAAAUAAUUGAUUGUUGUUUUAAGUUAACUUAUACAUUGAUGAGAAAGGAAUUAAUUAAGAAGAGAAAAGAGUAGAGUAAAAGAGCAAGUUCCAAGUAUCAGGCAAACCAGGGAGACACCAAUGGCUACAGUCAUUACCAGGAUGGUUCCCACUGAAAGCAGAAGGAUGAGCAUCUUUACGAAGCUGAGACAGACCGGUUAUAUCGAGCCAAUGGACCGGUUUCUUCAAUCUCCUCAUCACUUUGUUUAGAAUCACCCAAGCCAUUGGUGUCCCUCCUGGAUACUUCCUUCCGUAAAAUGGCUGCGUUUGACUCCUACAUGAGUUCAUUGGCUCUCCCCAAUCCUUUCCCCUGCAAAACAAUAAUGGGUUUAGAUGAUUUUAUAAGUGAAGUAAUUGCUUAAUUUGACAUAACUAAACCGACUUAUAGAGAACAAUAAGAUUAGAUGAAAGGAUGUAUGUUUACUCGUAAUGAGUAGGAGACACGCCGUUGAAGAAGACUUUAGUCUUAGAAGGAUCGACGUAAGCAUUAACCCAUCGAGCCCAAGUGGUCAUUCCUUUGUAGAAAGCAACGAGCCGGUUCAUGUCUUUGUACAACCUAUUCCCAUCUUCCAUGUAAUCCCACCUGCAAAAACACACACACGUCAUCAAAUUAUUUAAGUCAAAACUCAAAAAAGACAGAACAAAAAGAAAGAAAGGAAAAACGUACGGCUGAAUGUGUUCGGUGUGUGUCCACCAAUGCCACGAGUUGAAAAUCAAAACGUCCAUGCCUCUCCACAUAUUCCCUUGCUUAAUGGAAUCAAGCUUAAGCACUCUCCCAACUUUCUCCACAUUCAAAUCUACCAAGAACUGUGUUCUGUAUAGCAACAACGUCACUCCGUAUUCCUGCAUCAGUACCCAUUACAAACCCCAAAUUUAGUUCACUAGAUAACGGAGUAUGUAAUUUAUGUACAUGUGUAUUUUUUAACUGGCCAUGUGCUUUUAUAUCUCAAAAUAUAUCAUGGGAAAACAAAAGAAAAACGAAUCUAUUCUUGUGUGGCUCAUGAUCAUAAAGGUUAUAACAUGACAUGAUAUUCUGGAAGAUUCUCUUUUUUGGGAAAUAGGCCACUAAUCACGUUCAUCUCUUAAAUGCUCUCUCAUUCUCUUGUCCUAAUACUAUUUUUAUAACACAAGUUAUAAAACUAUAUAGCAAAGCAUUAUCUUUACAUCAAAUCAAAUGAGACAAAACCAAAAACACUUUAUCCCUUUCCUUAACACUAUGCGUUAUUAAAUAUAAAUCAAGACUUUUUACCACACUUUCCACACUAUAAAGCUAAAAAAAAUCCCCACUCAAUUUCUAGUGAAAAAAUCAUAACUCAAUAAAUAUCUACUUGUUUGAGUGGGAAAAUAUCACUAGUUUUAAAUUAAUAAGAUAAAAUGAAAGAACAAACCUCAAAGGUAAGUGAAGCAAGACCCUUUUGGCGAAUAAGAGUGUAACGAGUGUUAGGAACCCAAGAGUGAAUUAGACAAGCAAGAGAUUGCCACAUGUUUGUGCUUAGUGAAUCUCCAACGAACAUUAUCUUCUUCCCUCUCAUCCUCCUCAAGAAAUACAACCCAUUGAAUCUGAAACAAAAAGAUAAACAUUUUUAACCUCAUAAAGUUACAAUUUGAACUAUAUAUAUUUACUCAAUACAAAGACACAUUGGUUUUGAGAUUCGGAUUCGAUUUAAAACCUUUUUGGAGUGUAAAAUUAUGGGAUUUCCAAGACAUUAUUGCUCAAAAGCAACUCAACAAAAGUUUCAAAUUUUGAAAUCCAAAAAGGCAAAAAAAAAAAAAAUGAGAGAGAAAAGUGAAAAGAGUCAAGAAGAGAGAAACUACUAGUACUACUAUACUACACUAUCUCGAAAUUCAAUUGUUACCUUUCUUACCAAUAUGCUUAAAUAUCUCUGUAAAUAGCAUUAAACACAACCAAACAUAACUCUCCAAAUUUCCAGCUUUCCAUAUUUAUUAAUGGGAGAAAAAAAAUGAUUUUGACUCACACAAUAGAACAGAGAAACAAAGAAAAAAAGUUCAGUUUUUUCACCAUGUGCAAUUUAUUAUUCUGUCUAAUAAAUGAAAAGAAAAGGCAAACAAAACACAAGAAAAGCUUUAGUUCUUGAAUUAAAGAAAGGAAGAAGAUAAGGAUAGAGUAAGAAGAAACCUGGGGAGAGAGCAAGAAGAUGGUUGCCAUCGAUACUUAAGGUAAGCAUUGUCAGGACGACCAUACUUCUUACAGUUAAACUGUGGAUCUAUGAAUGGACAUUUAUAAGGAUCAUAAAGUGGGUACUUUACAUCAUAAACCCAAUUCCCUCUAAACCAAUUACAUCUCCCAGAAGCUAGCUCUCUUCUUACUUCAUCAUUAUUGCUGCUUGUGCUGUUGAUGUAAGCAGAGACUGUGGAGAGACAGAGGAAGAAGAAGAAGAAGAAGAGAAAAGAAGGGUUUCCUCGGGAAGUGAAACCCAUUCUCUCUUUCUUUGCUUCUUCGAUCUGAGAUUCUCUGUUUUGUGGUGAGAGCGAGAUUGGUGUGAGAAAAGAGGUGUCUUGGACUGAUUUGUUAUAUAAUACUCCAAAGAAACUCGAAAGAGAGAUAGAGAAAGAGAGUGAGAUUGUUCACAUCACAUGGGAAGGGGGAAACAAGAAACAAGAUCCUUUAUAUGUCUUUAUUCGAUUUAUAUUAGUUAAUUUGGUACUAGGUACCUUCCAAUAUUUUACUUCUCUUGUUUUAGAAUUUUUUACUGUAGUAAAUUAGUAGUUCUUUUCGUUUCUUUAAAUUAUCUCAACAGUAAGAAAAUGUUGAAAUUUGCAACACUGUUUUUAGUUAGCUUGGUUCAAAUAAGCUGAAACCAAGACUUUGAAAAACCAACAAUGUUUAUUGGUUAAUUUCGUGUUAUCAAUAAUAAAUCAUCGUUUUUACCCAAAAACUAUCAGUCUUAUAAAAAAUACAAAAAUAUUAAAAGAUUUGCUGGUAUAAGCUCAUAAGUAAUUUGCUGGUAAAUUAUGGGUUAAUAUUUUGUGUCAAUUGCCAGCUAAUAAAUACACUUUUUCAGUAUAGAUUCAUUAUUACGAAAGAAUUAAAAGGAUGAGAAAAAAAAAACUCAUAAAAGUAGGCUUGGACGCUUGGUAGGUAAAGGAUGCAAAAAAUAGGAAAAUACAAUUUCAUAAAAUUUAGUUUGUGAGUGUCGAAAAAAAAUAUAAAAAAAAUAGUUUGUGAGAGAGAGUCUCAAGCGGGUCCAACUUUGACUUUACACCGAUUUAUACGUACGUGUAGAUUUGAGUAUACAUAAGCCCCACAAAUAGUACAAGAGUAAGAGCCAUAUAUUGUCCAAUUAUUAUUCGUAAACCUUCGAUAACUGUGUGGGUGUAAUUAUAGUUAUUAUCAUUGACAUAAUGAACCAGAAAGUGUAUAAUUCGUGUCUAAAUAAAAUUAUAUGUAAUUCGUGUCAAAAUAAAAUUAUUUGUUGUCAUUUUUUUUUAAUCAUACUUUUUUUUUUUGGAAUGAAGUUAUACUUCUUUCAUCGAAAUUUAGAUUACAGAUAUAUAAUCUAGAUCUCUCAUAUAUAUGCACUCAUGCAAUAGUGUGAAUACUAGAGAAACCCAAAAAUAUCUACAACGUCUCACCAUCAUCUUUUCGCCGGUGAUUAUGGAGAAUUUCUUCUUCUUUUUUGAUUAUGAAGAUUAAAUGUAUAAAUGAAAAUCGGUGGAUUUAUAUUAUAUUAAUUAUGAGACGUGUUGAAAAUGAAAAGUGAAAAAUGUAAAAUACUAUUUAUAAACCCUAUUAAUUAUUAAAUGUGGCCAUGUAUCCGGAUAAACAGACACUAACAAUUGAACAACUCGAUAUUUUUAAUUUUUUUAAUGCAAUGCACAAAUUUGCUUCCAUAAUGUAAAACAAAUAAGAAAUUUUCAAGACCAUAAUGCAUACUAAUACAGUAAACUUUUGUGUAACUAGAGAUCUCGUGAGCUAACAAGGAAACAAAAUAAGUUUUCAUAAUGCAUACCACACAAAGACAAAACAUUUGGAAGCCUGCAAGGUACCUCAAGUUAUGAAUAAACCACUUAUUCUCCGAUCUAACCAACACAAUAUGUCACCCGUCAAUCUAAACUAUAUAUCACUAGUUCAUGAUUCCAUAGAUCUAACCAGUUGUUUUACUUUACAUUUAAUUUUCAAAAACAUAUUUUUAUGAGUUUCCGGAUAAUAACACAUUGACUUGUACGAAUAACUAAUGUAUAUGUUAUGGCCGCUAGACAUAAGACUAUUGUAUUAUAUCUUCUUUUUCAUACAAUAUCAUGUAGCUUUUGAGUACCACAAACCACACAUCUAUAUGGUCGAAAGUCUCGACUGUGAAUCAAACAAUUUAUCAAAAAAAAAAAAUACAAGAAAAUAAGUAAGAUGAGUAUAUAAGUUAGUUAAUUGAGAUCCAAUUUCGAAGGCAACACGAAGCGAAUAAUUUAGUCAAUAACUCAAUAUAUAGAACCAAUCAAUAAUAAUCUGCUGGAGAUUGAAUUGUUCAAUAAUUGAUGAGAAGGAGAUUAUAAAAAAAAAAAAAAAUGGUCCACCCACGUUUCGCCAUUUUCAAUCUCUCAUGAUAAUCUAAAUAAGUGACAGAAACAUACUGGCGAUAGUCGUUUGUUUCUUUACACACUGAUAUACCAAUACUUUUUUGAGUACUAUACUAUUAUGAGCUGUAAAAAGAAAGCCAAUUCAUCAAGUUUACUCGUUCGUAUGAGUUUUAAUACGAUCGUUAUAUGUGUUAAACUGUUAAUUAAUACAUUAUUUGAUUUUAUUCUAACUUUUCAUACUAAAAAUGCCAAUCGUUUCGUUCGUAGACCUGAAUUUAUAAAAAAAAUUGAAAUGCUAUUAAAAAAAGUUAUGUCCCUUUAAACUUCUGAUCAGAUUUCAGCUGUACAUAUUUUGUUAUUUAUUGCUGCAAAAUUUAUACCAUUAUGACUAGUAUUGUUCUAAUAAUCGUUAUAAAUAUUUAGGCAUGAACAGUUUGAGGAUUCACAUACUUAAAUUAAUACUAGAACCAGGUUAAUUUGGGCUAUAAAGUCUCACUAAUAAAGAUUUGGGAAUUCGAAGGUCAUUAGUGAAGUGACACAAACCGGAACUUGUGAGAAUAAUGGAUUUAAGGCAGAUUUGACAAGAAAGUGUGGAAUUGAGCAAACUCAUGUCGUCAUAGGCUCAUAUACAUAUCUACAUUUGUAUUGUCCCUAUCACAAUACUUUAUGCCCCUACCUAGCAUCCGCCAUAUCAUUCAAUUCAACUCUCGACUUAAAUGAUUUCCUUAAAUAUUGAGAAAAUAAAAUAAGGAUUCUUCUUUUUGUUGGUACUAUCGCAAAUAACAGAUGGGUCCAUUUUCGUCAACGGAAGAACCAAAGAAGGCUCUAUCUGGGCCUGUAGACAUAGGAUUGAGCCCAUUUAUCCAUGGAUUAGAUUAUUAUGUCACAGAUGUUUUUAAAACUGAAUACUCAAGAUAAUGCAAGCGAGAGGAGUGUGUCUUUCAUGUUGAACAACCGCGAGAAUCGGGUCAAGAAAACGAGCCCUGUGGUUUUACGUCUUGACCUAUUAGAUCUGGUGCACAAUGGUGCUCCUAUCAACACAGACCAGAUUAGCAACUUCUCUGAUUCAGUCCAUAUAGCUAUCAAAGUAUGUGCCAGCAGAUACAGAUACUUGCGUCAGUUUAGUAACUGAGAAAACGUGGAUUUAUCAGAAGCCUUUUUAUUUUAAUUGAAUAAACUCUAGUUGUCGUGUGUGUGUGUGUGUUAAGAUAAUGAAAAUGUCUUUAUUUUGGUUCUAGACUCCUAGUCUUAGUUAAAUCGAAUCUAACUGGAUGUGUUUGAGAAUAAACCAAUCAAAUUAGUCAUUUUUGGUAUUUCUUGUUUAGAUCAAGUAUAAAAAGAUUCAUAUAGUAAUAAAGAUUUAAGGAAAAAGGAAGAAAUGGCAGAGCAUAAUGCUUAUUUUGUCUCUCGCUUUUUCGGUUUUUUUGUAUGAGGUAAGACUCAAAAUUAUUUGAAUCACAUGUUAGAGUUAGCGGCAUGUGCCAAUUUCCCACAUUUUCAUUAUUUCUCUAGUGUUAUUUCUCAUAAGAUUUUGCUGAUAGAAAAGAUAUCAUUUCACCUUUAUAUAUAUAUGUAGUAGAUGUUAAGGAAAAAAUUACGAAAAAGAGAAUAAAAGAUAAGAGAAAUUCGAUCUCAAUGGUAUGAUGGCGUGACUGAAGUAACAGAGAAAGACAAAGAACAACAUGUGUCACCAAUCAUGUUGUUUAACUCUUUCCCCCACAUUUCAUGUUCAUUUAUCCUAAAAGUCUAAAACAGCCAUUUGCCCAUUUCUAUAUCCAGGUUUUUCUUUUCUUUUCUUUUCUUUCGUUUGCGUAUUUCCAUUAAUUUCUUUUGAUAAAUUUAAAAUGUAACUAGUUCUUCUUUGAUUAUACUUGAUCGCACCAACCAAAAAAUACAUGGUAAUACAAAUUAAAGUCACAUAGUAAUAAAAAAUAUAGUGUAAAUUAUGGAGUGGCAAAAUUUCUAUCUAACUAUAACAAAAACUGUUAAUUUGGUGAUAAAAAAACACACAAAUAAUCUCGCUUACAAGUUACAACUAGAGGGUGAAUAUUACCAUUAACUCACUAUCCUCCUUUUGUAUACGUGUUUCUGCAAAUUACCAUUUUUAUUGGUUCAUUCAAACAUACAUUAUUUUUGUUAAGAGUGUGAGGCCUUGAGAGUUGAGAGACUAUAAACUUUUUUCGAUAAAAAGUAGACUUAGACUAGAUCUUAACUUUUGCACACAAAAAGAAAGGAGACUAGAUCUUAACUAAAAUAUUAUCAACAAAAUGUUUAUCUUCGGACUGGGACACAUGGAAAUGUGUAUGUUUUUGCAGGCAUAUAUUUGGUCGUUUAAGUCUUCAUUUCAACUAGAUGAAACAAAAGCAGAAACAUAUGAGGAAUACCAAAGAUUUUUUCUCUACUGGAAACGACAAAAGGUUCAUAUUAUCAUAUAUAGAGUAUUGGAAAAUGUUAGCUCUUGUGAUUACUAAUUAGUCGUAAGGUAUUAAGAAUACAUAUUGCCAACAGUGAACUGAAGAAACUAGUGAACCCACACAAAAAAAAUAUAGUUCAACUUUUCUUUUGUUAAAAAGUUUCAAACGUUAUUUUCUAGUUUUAAAACGUCAUUUACCAAACUCUACAUAAUUGCAUUAAAUCAAAAGGUAUGCGUAUAGUUUUACCCUUACCCUUCAAAAUUUGAGACAUGGUGCAUGUGGAAUGUUUUGCACAGCACACAUACACUCCCUCAUUUACGAAAAGUUCAUCAAUUAUUUUCUAUUUUAUUUUAAAACAUUUUCAAAGAAAACAAGUAACAUACUUACAAAUAAAUAUAUUAGUUUUACUCCCUUUUAUUAGAAAAUUAAGUUUUGUAACUAAAAGUGAUGGUAUUUUGAUAACAGAUUAUAAAGAAAUCUCAAAUUUAUUAAGCUUUUUCCAAUAAUAGCUACUACGAUUAUUUAUCUUACUAGCUAGUACUAUUAAAAAAAAAAAUCUCUUAAUUAGUACAUGAAUAGGUAUUCCAAUAUACCUUUAGAUUUCAAUUAUGUAUUGUUUUAAAUUUUAAAGAGUGGUAAUAUGAAAUAAAUUAAAUUGUUGAUGGAGAUGAUGAUGAAGGUAAAGAAGAUUCAUAUCAUAUCAGCAUAUGCUCACAUGAUAGAGCAUCUAACCUCAGGUGGCAACAAAUAACAUCAUGGCAAUAUAUAAUUGAUCUAUUAAAUUUAGUUAUACAUACGGAUAUGAUCAAUUAUCCAAACAUGCAGCUGUUUUUCUAAUUUUAAAGAUAUUUCUUUUCUCAAACUACAUGAGUCUACAGUUCUUAUAACUUGGCUUCUAUAUAUAAUCUGAAAGCCAUCAUCAUACAUCCAUUGGCCAAAGACUAGACCAAAAGUAUUACCACCAACGUUUUUGGUCACGUACCAGUUUUAGAAUUUAGAUGAACUAUUUCACUCUAAAGCAAAGUACUUGUUUACUUUAGAAAAUUAGAGUAAACGAAUGUUAACUUAAAAAAAUUUCGGGUUGACAAAAAUAAAAUGCGAGUUGGACGGUAAUGCGAUCUACAUAUAUUCUUUGCUUGGACUGACAUUAUGAUCUUAAUAAUUUGUAAAUAAAAAUUAAAAUAAUAUUGAUGAAACAUAGGAUACCCUUAACUAAGAAUCAUAGUGGUUAAGACAAGCGUGGAUUAGCUUUUAGUAAACUGAUUAAUCGAAUAAUAAAGAAAACCAGAUAAUUUUCUUACGUUUUUGUAUAUAUAAUCAAGAAUCAUGGAGAUACACAUAGAUAAGAAAGAUUAUAGCACGAACACGAAUGCAUGUAUUAGGCAAUAAAAAUAUCGUUAGUUAGAAAACAGUACAUAUAUAAAUAAUUCGUGUAGUAUUUUGACUAAGGAAUUGUCUUAAUAGAAUUAAGCAGUUACAAAGUUUUAUUUACACAAAUAUUUUUUCCUCUCGGCACACCUUGAAUCAAAUCAAGCAUCGUUUAAAUUAAAUUACUGUAAUGGAUUAGAUAAGUACUAGUAAUAAGUAAAGUAUGUUUGCCGACGGGUGAAAUUGUAAAAAAGAUUGGAUACUUUCUUUUGUUUGAUAUGAAACUCGAAUCUCGUGAUUAAAAAGAUGGCCCGACAGUGAUUUAAUGAGAGUCAACAAAAAAGAUGUAAAACACAUUAUUAGCAACUAAUUGUACUUUAUUUUUAUAAUUUUCACACGUUUCCUCUUUUGUCUAUUUUGAUUGGGGUCAUUCAUGCUCAAACAUUACAGCCUGCGCAUUGUAUUAUGUUUUGUAUGUCUCCGGCGGAACAAACAAUGUGACAUGCGUUUGAAUAAUCAGUCUAAUUGUAUGAUUGGUGUGUUCAUUCGCUAUUAAUGCAAAUGGUGUCCAAAUUAUUAAAUUUUGAGUUAAAUCCGUGGAGAAAUAAUAUUCCUUUCAUUUUAAAGCAAGUGUCGUUUUAGACUGAUUUUUUUUAUUUAUGUCGUUUAUGAAUUAAGAUAAUAAAGAAGUAUUAAUAAAAAUGUGAGACAUAAAUAUAUAAUUCUGAAAGCCAAUCUUAUCUUCAAAUGCACAUUUCACUUAUACGUAUUCAGUAUUCUGCCAUUCAACAAACCCAUAAUUUAUUUUGUCUAUGGUAAAAAAAACGCAUAUAGUCAGUCAUAUUAGAAUUAUUUUACGAAUGUAAUUUUUAUUGCUACUUAUCAUGUAUGCUUAAGUGAAAAUAGUGAGUCACUAUCGUCAUUCGUCACCCAUCUCAUGCUUGGCGUUGGCGGGCUCGAGGUCAGUUUUCGAAUAAUCCGUCGGUGUUAACAGAAUAAUCCGUUAUUGAAAAACUAAACGCCGUUAACGGAAACUGUGUGCUUAGCUGGCAGACACAGCAGAGAAGUCAAUAACCAGCUGGCAUGAUCACCGUUUUGCAAUUAUCCCCAUAAUUACCGCAACACCCUUCUAUUUUUUUAUCCUUUUUUUUCUUUAAUUAGUAUUUACUAUUUAUUAUCGUUAUGUUCUUAAUUAUCCUAUUAUUGUUUUAAAUAUUUUUAUAUAGCGAAAUAAUUUAUUUAAGAAAAAGUCAAGAGAAAAUUAAUUGACUAUAUAUGGAAAAUAAUUUGAGGGUGCGAGGCAUGACCUAGCUAGAGAAAAAUAAAAUAAAAUGAAGGCAUGCAUGGUGCUUGGUUCAAUGUAAUUAGUGGUUCCGUAGGUCUGAACGGUACGGACUGGCCAUGAUCUACUAGAAACAGUAAAUAGUUAAUACAAAGUAAUUAAUUAUGAGUUUCAGCAAAUUAACUACUCUAUAUCGAAUGAAUUAAACAGUAAUCCCCAGAAAAGAAAAAAAGAGAACUAUGACAGCCUUUUCAAAGGACACCCGAAAACCAAAAUGAAGAUUUUAAAAAUGCCAGCUCUGCAAUAGAUAUUGAACUUUCAUUUGUAAUUUUCUUUAUUUUUGUUGCAUUACACACAUUUGUUAUUUACAUUUAAAUUGGCUAUUGCAAUAAAAGAUUACUUUAUAUGCUUAUAAUAGUACAAUAUAUAUGGUGGCUUAAACAAAAGUUUGGCUGGCUUGAUAAAUACAUCUUACAUCGAAUGACGAUUUUACCCUCUAUCUUGCUGUCUCUGAGUACGAGGGUUGAAAUCCUUACGUGGCAUUUUUUCUCAUUUUUCUUGGUCAAAUAGUUUAACCAAACUCCAAAAGUCUGUGAUUUGUUGACAUACUUCUAACUAAUUUUUUUUUAUAAUAAAAAUCUAUUGUAUCUGUAGAAAUAAUCAUUAGAUUUACUUUCUAGAAUAUAACUUCUUAUUUCUUAGUAAUUUGUCCAGAUUUUUUUUUACAACUAACUAAACACUAGUUAAAAUGUUAAUGUCUAAAAAAUACCAUUACAAUUAUUCAAUUUAAUAAAAAUUGAGUCGGCCAAUUUAAUGCGAGACUUCUGUACAACGACCCUAAAAGUGGGUUUGAUAAAUGAAACAUAUUGCAACAAAAAAAUACUAGUAAUAAUGAUAAAAUAGUAACAUGUCGUGGCGCAUUGAAUAUCCUACGAAGGUUUAGUGUUUACUUUUAAAAAAUCCUAAUAUGAUACUAGUACAUAUAGCUAGCUUGCCUUGCUUAUGCUAUUGCAUAGUCUGUAUUAAUAAAUGAUGUUAUACAUUUCGAUAGAGUAACAUUUUGGGAACAUGAGUGAACGUGCUUGAAUCUUCGUGCCCUUGACGUCAGAAGCUAGUAAUUUUAAAUACUAAUUAACAUUCAUACAAAUUAACAGAUACAAUGUACUAUAUCAUAAUUCGUUUCCGUAACACAACGCAACAAUUUGAAAGUAGAUGUACUUUAGUACUUAGUUAGUGUGCACCAAAAAAAAAAGAUGUAGUUAGUUAGUAAGGGGUUAAAUGUUUUAAUUUAUUAAGAAAACUUAAAUUCAUUAAAUGUUAGAAAAAGUCUAAUUAGUUUAUAUUCGAACACUGUGCUCAAAAUUAAAAAGUCAACUAUUUUAGACUAUAGAGUUUAUUAAUUAAUAAUAAAUUCGAUAAAUCACCGUAUUAUUUUCUUCAACGACAAGUAGCCGUGAAGACACGGGAGCGAAGAGAGAUAAACAGAAGAUGAAGAAGAAGAUCAAUGUCAUAAUCUUCAGGGAGAUAAAUCCGUAAUCUUUAUUAAUCAAGGUUAAUCCUUUUUUUUUUCUUCAUCUUAAUUCUUUGCGUCUUCCUUUUCUAUUUAUCACGAGAUCUGUCUUUCUUUUUCCUCUUCUUUCUCUCUCUUCUCUCUGAAGACAGUACUUGUUUCUGUCCGGCGUUAAAAGCUUCGGUGGUGGUCUCUUGACUUCUCUGAGAAGAAGAAAAGGAAGCUGAGUCUCAUUUUAGAUUCAGCUCACGAGGAAGUGACGACGAUGUCUCAUUCUAGAAGACUUUCGUUGGAACCUGCUAUAGAUUCAAUCACUGGUCGAUUUCGUGAUUUACAGAGAAAUGAUGAUGACGUCAACAAACCUGAUUUUCGAGAACUCGAUCUAGGUUCUCCUGUUUCUACCUUAAUGCCACGUGGCUCUGCUUCUUCUUCCGCUGCUGCGACUCCUACUAGCAGCUCUGGCUCUUCUGGCUCUGCUUCUGGUAAACCGUCGGUGAGUUCUCAGAUGGCUAAACGGUUAGAUGAUGCUUACAAGAGUCAUUCCGGUGAGCUUUCUAGCCCCGGAUCCGGAAUGCCGACCACGACCCGGAUUCUUAAACCGGGUCAUAGAAGAUCUUCUUCUACUGGCACGCCUUUGAUCUUCUCUGGCUCUAGCUUUACUUCAGCAACGAGUCACACCUCGCCACAAGGAGGUGGUAGCGGUGCUACGUCGGCAGUGUCUCCCAAUACUGGCGUUUUACCGGCGGGAAAUAUUUGUCCGUCGGGUCGGAUCUUGAAAACUGGAAUGGCGUCUCGGACUUCAAGUAGGACUGAGACUCUAUGCACAGGAACUGGUAAUUACGGACAUGGAAACGUUGUACGCAGCGGCGGAGGAGGAGGAACCAGCGGAAAGGCGGUGAGAGUGGCGGAGAAUGGCGAAAACCCGGAGGAGUUGAAGAGAAUGGGGAAUGAUAUGUAUAGGAGAGGGAGUUUCUCUGAAGCUCUGUCGCUUUAUGACAGAGCAAUUUUGAUUUCACCGGGAAAUGCAGCUUACAGAAGCAACCGUGCCGCGGCUUUAACGGCAUUGAGGCGGUUAGGAGAAGCCGUUAAAGAAUGUCUUGAAGCUGUUAGGAUUGAUCCUUCUUACUCCAGAGCUCACCAAAGACUUGCUUCUCUCUAUCUCAGGUAAUCUUGAGAGGCUUUUUGUUUUGUUGCUGUGUUUUUAGUUUAAAGAUUGAGAAUUUGAAAUGAUGGAGUGAAUUGUUGCUUUAGAUUGGGUGAAGCUGAGAAUGCAAGACGUCACAUUUGUUUUUCUGGUCAAUGUCCGGAUCAAGCUGAUCUCCAACGGCUACAGACGCUGGAGAAGCAUCUCCGACGAUGCUGGGAGGCUCGAAAGAUUGGAGAUUGGAAAACCGCGAUUAAGGAAACCGAUGCAGCCAUUGCAAACGGCGCUGAUUCGUCUCCUCAGGUGAUUACAUAUCAUUGUCGUAUGAUAUGCUUGUAAAGAUUUUUGACUAACAGUGAGGUUUUUUCUAUUGGUUUGGACAGCUUGUAGCUUGUAAAGCAGAAGCCUUUUUGCGUCUUAAGCAAAUAGAGGAUUCGGAUUUUUGUGUAUCUUGCAUUCCAAGAUUGGAUCAUCAUUACCAUUCUCAACCGCAGGUGAAACUCUUUGGUAUGGUAGUUGAAGCUUAUGUGCUCUGUAUCCAAGCUCAAGUUGAUAUGGCAUUAGGAAGGUGAGCUUUCGAAACUCAGAAAUGUUGUGAUUCUUUGGAUUUUUGUUUCUCCACCGGUGAGUGAGUAGAUAUGAUAGGUUUGUUGCAGAUUUGAGAAUGCGGUUGUCAAGGCAGAGAGAGCUGCGAUGCUUGAUCAAACCAAUCCUGAGGUUGUAUCAGUUUUAAACAAUGUGAAGAUGGUUGUGCGGGCACGUACUCGUGGUAAUGAGCUAUUUAGUUCGGGGAGAUUCUCGGAAGCGUGUGUAGCUUAUGGAGACGGUCUCAAGCAAGAUGACUCCAAUUCGGUUUUGUACUGCAACAGAGCAGCGUGUUGGUAUAAGCUCGGUUUGUGGGAGAAAUCUGUUGAAGAUUGUAACCAUGCGCUCAAAAGCCAGCCUAGUUACAUCAAGGCACUUCUACGUAGGGCUGCUUCAUAUGGAAAGGUGAGAUUAGAACUUACUAUAAUCAGUUAUUGACAGAAUUUUGCAGUGUAUUCGAAUGACAAUGUGUGUUGAAAUAUAUAGCUUGGUAGGUGGGAGGAUGCGGUUAAAGAUUAUGAGUUCUUGAGAAGAGAACUUCCAGGAGACAGUGAAGUUGCAGAGUCUCUAGAGAGAGCGAAAACAGUGCUAAUGAACAGAAGCCAAGAAUCUAAAAGCCUAGGUUUCAAUAAUGAAGUUGAAGCGGUUUCGACUUUGGAUAAGUUCAAGAAAUCCGUAGCACUUCCCGGUAAGUCUAAUGAGAAACUUCAAUUUGUCUCAAAAGGUUGAGAUUUUGCGUGUCUUGCUCAAGUUGGAAACAUUUCUCUUCAGGUGUCUCUGUAUUUCAUUUCAAAUCAUCAUCAAACCGACAAUGCGAAGAAAUUUCUCCAUUCAUCAACACUUUAUGUCUUCGGUAUCCAUUAGUACAUUUCUUUAUGGUAAGAACAAGAACACAUUCCAAAUAUGCUUUUUAUAUCACAUUUUCUUCUAAACUUAUAUGUAUAACCUAUGUUUCUCAAUGUGUUAACUGAGAAAAUGAAAUGUUAUUAGGUGGAUGUGGAGGAGAGCAUGGCGUUGGCGAAAGCAGAGAGUAUCAGGAAAGUUCCGACAUUUAAGAUGUACAAGAAUGGAGAUAAAGUGAAGGAGAUGGUUUGUCCUAGCCAUCAGUUUCUAGAGGACUCUAUAAAGCAUUUCCUCUUAUGAUUGAAAAAGCCCUAUCAUCAUUAUCUGCUUCCCUAUGAUUCGAUCCGAAUAGCCUAUUUAAAAGACUCAGAAAGCAUUCUAUGUGAAAGAUGGGAAAGAGCUCUUCUGUCAAAUUCAACAAACUAUUCAUUCUUUCUUCUUAUUCGAUUCUAAUUCUUCUUUAUUUAUUUUUUGGAGUUUGGCUCUGCUUGCUUUGGCAUAUUACGUAUGGGUAAAUGUUCGCAAUGAUUCAAGAAAUGCAAGCUUCAUUAUCUAUUUACGCUUGGCUUGUGUAUGCUAGAUUAUUCACCACACCAGUGAAAGAAACUGAACAGAGUUUACUGUAUUUGGUGUUGUUGAUUCAAUCAGUGACAGAAUAUGAAUCAGAGAGUACCGAAUCCAAUCAGCUUCUAUCUCAGCAAUUCAGAAAUGAAGGAAUAUAAGUUUCAAGAUUGGAUCCAUAAGGAUAGAUAGUAAGACGACAGUAGUGAAUUACAAAUAAGAGUGUCCUGAGACAGGCAUGCAAUACAUUCAAACCAGAGAGACAUUUAGGGCUAAACCAGAGUACAAGUAACAUAGACAAUCAUGAUAUAGGGAACAGAGAAACUCUACUUUUCACUAUUAUUCACCGCACAUUCAGUUCUUGAAACAUAUUGUCCAGGUGCACACAUAUCAUAUCACUGCAACAUAAGCAAAGAAAUCUUGAAUCAAAAUCGGCUUAUUUUAAUUUGAUUUACCCCGAGUAAAGGAAUCUCUUAUACUUACCUCUGCAUCGUCUCCACCAGCACCAGGUUUGGCAGAACCAUUCGUCUUAUGAGCAUCGUCUCCUGCACACAAAUGCAAAAUUAACAGUUGAAGUCCAAGUGAAAAUAUAUAUUGAUAAAAACUGGCAAUCGUCUUCCAGAUGCUAUUUCAACUAUCUAUCAUCAAGAAUGUCCAUGGAUAUGCUUAAAUUGUCUUAUAGAUUCAUUGGUUUCAAGUAAAUCAACACUACACAUAAGAAAUGACAAUGAACAAAUACACCUAGAAUGGAAAAACACCAAAGAGCAAUUGUGUAAGACAUCAAAACAUCAUAUUUAAAGAGUGUGCUUAGGUCCAGAGUGAUGAUCAUUACCUCCUUCUUCUGAGAUGUCAGAAGUCCACAAGGUCAGAUUGUCCCUAAGGAGUUGCAUUAUUAAGGUGCUAUCUUUGUAGGAUUCCUCGUUCAGAGUGUCAAGCUCUGAGAUAGCUUCAUCGAACGCCUGCUUAGCAAGGUGACAUGCCCUGAAGAGAAAAGAGCAAGAAAAAAAAAUCUCAAAUCUCCAAAACAAUGAGUCUUUUUUCUUAUCUUAGUAGUAUAAUUAACAAUCUGUAAACCUUUCAGGUGCGUUCAUGAUCUCGUAGUAGAAGACAGAGAAAUUCAAAGCCAAACCCAAUCUGAUAGGGUGUGUUGGAGGGAGCUUAGCCUCAGCAGCAGUAGUAGCAAUCUGUAAAGGAAAGAAACAAACAAAAACUCAAAAGUAAAGUAACGAAAAACCAAGAAUGUCCAGUGAUCAAUAACACUACAAAUCACUAUAAGAACACCUCAUAGGCUUUCAAAGACUGAUCAGCAGCCUCUUUCCUCUCGUUCCCUGAUUUGAACUCAGCAAGAUAGCGGUAAUAGUCACCUUUCCUACAAAAACCAAAACAAAAUCUUCAGACACACAACCUUAAGUUAAACACCAUGUAAAGAAGCAUUAUAGAGCUUACAUCUUGUUGAAGAAGACAGUAGAUUCACCCUCGGAAGCCGAAGGAAUGAGAUGCUCAUCUAAGACAGACAUAAUAUCAAUGCAUAUGUUAGAAAGCUCUAACUCAACCUUCUCCAUAUACUCUUUGAUCCUCUUUACAUUAACAUCAUUCCCUUUCACUGCUUCCUUUUGUUCAAUCGACGAGAAGAUCCUCCACGAAGCUCUCCUUGAACCAAUCACGUUCUUGUAACCCACAGAGAGUAAGUUCCUCUCUUCCACCGUCAGAUCAACAUUCAAUUUCGCAACACUUUUCAUUGAUUCCACCAUUUCUGUGAAAAAAAGAAUUCACAUUUUUCAAUACCCAUCUGCUAAAAAUCAAGACUUUUGAAUCUAAUUCCUUGAUAAGAAGUUCCCCAUUCGUAAACUCUCAAUCAAACCAAACGAUUGAAACCCGUUCGAUGAUAUCAAAGUCCAGUAAAAUCAAACAGAAAUCGAGCUCAAGAAGCUAUCAAAAAGACCUGAUUCGAGUGAGAAGAAGAAGAAGAAGAUUCCUUACCUUCAUAACGCUCAGCUUGCUCAGAGAGCUUAGCGAGGUAGACGAAAGUGUCACGCUCUUUUCCAGAACCCAUGACUGAUUUUCAAGAUUCUCGAAAAAUCAAAAGUAUCAAAUUCCAAAGCUUUUGACGACUGAUCCGAGUAUGUAUAUCUCUCGGCGAACGCUGUUCUUUUGUUUUAUUUUUUCUCCAGAGAAGAGAGAGAUCUUUGAGACGCGCGUAGGGACACAAGCGUAAUUAACGCGGGUUAAACGGGGUAAUUACUACUCAAUGGUCUGUGUCAGUAAGUGAUUUUAUUCAUUAUAUUAUUCCUCGUGGGAUCCAUUUGGUUCUUCUCUGUCUAACCAUAUCAUGACAUGUCAUCACUCUCUAUCCACCAGUCCACUCAUUUUAAUUGUACUUUAUCUUCUCAGCACAAUUUUAUAUUUUAUUCAAAUAAUGGACUAUAUAACAUUAGAAGGAAUUAAUCUUCAUUAGGGAAUAACUAAGGAACUGUUUUUCCAAAAAAAAUGAAUUUAAUGACAUACCUAUUUUGUCCAAAUUUUCGUGUUUAAAAUUUAGAGUUUAUUUUUUGGAUUUAAGUGUUUAAUUUUUGGAGUUUAUAUAUUACGAAUGGUAAUUUCAACAUCUUAGAACGAAAAGAAAGAUUUCUUUUCUUGUUUCUUUCAGAAAUAUAUUUCCUAGAUAUGGUAACAUAACAACAAUAGAAUAACACAAGAAAUUAUCAUACUCAUUAAAAAGCGUACGGGAUAGGAGUUGGAGAGAUUUCAUCACAUCAUAGAACAUAAUACAUUACAUAGCGUAGAUUUAGGGAAUGGUACAAGAACGUUUUAAACUGCCUUAACCGGUGUUUUGCAUACCAGCAGCGAUACCCUUCAUGGUGAGGAUAACCGUAUCUUCAAGUCCCGGUGCGUAUUCACUCUUUGGAUUCAGUUUCACGAGCUCAGCCGCUGGACUAGACUCCAUGUAGUCCUUAGAGAGAUGUGGCCGGACUUUGACGUGGAAGCUUGGGUCACGGAUCUGCUUGAGUGUAUAGGCUUGACACACGUUCAAUGUCGUGAUGUAUGGGUCACGAAGCUGCAGCCUUUGCCUCAAGUAAGGGUCACCUUCUAAAAUGUCUUUGUGACCUGCAACCUGGAAAGGUACGAAACGCACGGGUUAAGUUAGCUUGUAUGGUCUGACACCGCAUGGAAACCGGAUGGGACAUCUAUAAUGUGGUUAUAGUGGAAGUAAGUAAUACCUGGAGGAGGAGGCGUCUGGUCUCUUGGUAGUUAACUCGAAGUUGUUCACCGAAUGGUUGAAGUUCUUCAGAGACGAGGAGGCGGUCAUACAGAGCCGCAAUUCCGGGAUCUCCUUUGGCGAAAACCAUUUCGACUAGAUCAAUUGUGACACGGAAGAAUGGCCAUUGGUUGUACAUCUCUUUGAGCAUGUUGAGAUUCUUACUGUCCUUCUGUAUCACGCGUUUGAAUGCUCCUCCAAAGCCAAGCCACACGGGUAAGUGAAACCUCGUCUGAGUCCACGCAAAGAUCCACGGGAUUGCACGCAGCGACUCGAUUCCUCCGCUUGGUUUACGUUUUGAUGGUCGGCUUCCUAUGUUCAUCCUUCCAUACUCGAGCUCUGGUGUUGCCUAUAAUACAAACCCAAACCUGAACUUAGACUCUCUUUUUUAACUACAAUUUGUUUAAGAGAGGAGUAAUUGAGCUGGUUAAGAACUUACCAGACGGAAGUACUCAACAAAACGGGGCUCCUUGAAGACAACAGAACGGUAUUCUUCAGUGGCAAUUAUAGCCAUUUCAUCCAUGAGGACACGCCACUCAGGCUUAGGGGAAACCGGUGGAUGCAUUCCAUGCUCAAGUGUUGCAGCUGUGAAACGCUGAAGAGUCCUAAAGCAUAAGUGCUCUUCUCCGAAAGACUGUUCAAUAACUUCACCUUGAACCGUUACCCUCAAUUGCCCAUGAAUGGUAUCCGGAGGCUGAGACAAAAUAGCAAGAUGGGUAGGUCCACCUCCUCGUCCAACGGUCCCACCUCUUCCGUGGAACAUUGUCAGCUUGACUCCGUAUUCUUUUGCCACCUUCACGAGCUCUUCUUGAGUCUUGUAUAACUGCCAAGCCGCUGAUAAACGACCAGCAUCUUUGCCCGAGUCAGAGUACCCGAUCAUGACUUCUUGCUUUCCAUUGAUCCUGUUUCUGUACCAUUCUAUGGAGAAGAGACGGGCAACUGCAGCAGGUGCGGAUUCUAAAUCCGCUAGCUUCUCGAACAACGGGACAACUCUCAGAGGAUCAGUGAUCCCGCAUUCGCGUUGCAAAAGCUCAACAGCGAGCACGUCUGAUGGAGCAGUGGCCAUUGAGAUAAUAUAAGCACCAAAACUAUCCGAAGGAAGCUCAGAAAUGACUUUGAAAGUGUCCAACACAUCUGCAACCUCUUCGGUUUUGGGAAGAUCCGGUCCAAAGAGAGGGCGUUUCCCGCUUAGCUCAGAUAACAGCCAUUCCUGUCUUUUAUCCUCCGACCAUUCUUUGUAAGAACCAAUACCUAAGUGCGUCGUGAUGGCAUCCAAGACAUCAGAGUGUCUUUCAGAUUCUUGACGGAUAUCAAGUUUCACAAGAGCAAGGCCAAAUGUUGACACUUGGCGUAAGAAAUCAAGCAGGCUUCCAUCAGCAAUAGGUCUGUCACCGCAAUCACAGAGCGACCUGUAACAAAGCUCAAGUGGCUCCAAAAACUUUGGAUAGAAACAGAAACAAUCAAAGGUUAGAAAAUUAUAAAAUCAAUCAAACAAGAAACAAACAACAGCUUUGAUCUUAGAGUGGUUCAAUCCAUAUUUUGGUUCUCUUUUGGUUUGGGAUUUUCAAAUUUAGAAAAAUAGUUACCAAAUAAACUAUGCAUCAGUAUGGUAUAGCUUCCAUGUUUAAUCAAAUACGAUUCUAAUUUUCAAAGGAAUUGAAGUUGCAGUUAUAUGGCUUAAACAUCUCUAGUUGAUCUGCAAACAGCACGAAAACACACCUGAUCCACACUUGUGAAAACCGCGUCUUCGGGAACGUCCGAAACUCCGCUUGACAAUAACUGACGUGCACGCUCACGUGUGUUGUACAGCUUGUCCCUCACAUCUCCAAGAAUAGCUCGGUAUGGCUCAUUCGCAGGGAUUUGUUUCCAGAAUUCUACAUCCAUCCAAAAAUCGAUCAUACAUCAAACAUAAUAUAACAAACUGUUAACAUGUCGGACACAUAAAAAAAUGUCAAGAAUGUAACACACACCUAUAUAGUGUUUUGCAUCCCUCUUCGCACAUCUUUGACGUUCUGCACGAACCCGAAGUUCCUCAUUGCAACGCCACAUAGACAUCUGCAAACAAACACAUCAAACCAAAAAAAAUAAGAUCUCUGUCCUUAACAUUAACCAAUAAACUAAAUUGCUGUGAUGUGAAUAAAAUUUUUGCUACCUCAAACAUAAGAUCUUCUAUCUGGGAGAAGUAGAGAUUAGCAGCCAUCAUUCUAGCUAAUAAGCAUACAUCUCUUGUAACUUCAGGAGUUACUCGCGGGUUUCCUAGAUUCAGAAAAUGUUUUCACUCAUAAGAACCAAUUCAUGUUUUAAUGGUUUGAGAUAAGAAAGAAGCAAGAGUGUACCAUCACGGUCUCCGCCCAUCCAAGAAGAGAACUGAAUGAGAGGCGCAUUGUAAGGAACACGCUCGUUGAUUCCAAUGUUCUUUAAAGCUGUGUCAACACGUCUUAAGAACUUUGGAACUCCUUUCCAGAUUGUCUCAUGGAAGUAGCUCAUCCCUGCUCUCAUUUCAUCUUGCGGUGUAGGAGGAGUUCUUCGGAUUUCAUCUGUGCGAAAAGCAGCUUGAAUCUGGUGCAACAAAAACAGAGUUUUAGUAGAAUUCAUGCAAAAGAAGCUUUAUUGAGUUCUUUAGUUUCGCUUACCUCUCGUUGCAGAGCUUCAUCGAGUUCUUGUUUGUCAUCAGGAGUAAUGUCCUUUGCAUAUAACUGCGUCAAACAAUCACGAAUCCUGAAAACAUUUGAGACAAAAAAAUACAUCAGUCAAGUCACACACACAAGGAAUCCAAAAUGUCAAGACACUAAAAAAGUUAAACAAACCUUCCAAACUUUUGGAGCAAAGACCGACGAACAGAUUGAGUGGGAUGAGCAGUUAAAACCAAGUCAACAGUCUGAUUCUUAAGAGCAUCAAAGACCUCUUCAGGAGUCUUGUUAAGCUGCAAAAGCCUCUUGAGAGUCUCUUCAAUGUCAGAUUCCGUUGUUGCAGAGGCCUCAUCAGCGAAAUCACCUUUCUUGAGUUUCUUAAUCCUACGCCGGUAAGCAAUCUGGACUUCCUCAGCCAGAUUAGCCAAGCUAAGCAUGUUGGAGAAUGAUUUAGUGACAACAAUUGAAUCCCCUGGAUCCAAACUCGUCAGCAUAUUUCCAAGCUCCUCAAGCUUCUCAGUGUUGCGGUUUCCAUCGUAAUCAGCUGCAACUUCGUAGCAUUCUUGAACCUUUUAGACAAAACAAAAGACAUUAUAUGAUUCAGUAAACUGAAAAUCAUCAGAAACAAUCACAGAUGCAAACUCAAUGAGCCACUGAAGCAAACAAAUAUACUCACAAACCCAACAAAAACAGAGAAUAACAUGAACAAUCUUAACACAGUGUGAUCUGAUCUGCUCGAUAUCACUGAAAAGGAUUCAACUUUAUGGAUAAUCUAAGCAGAAACAACAAACCCACAUGAUGAUUCACUGAUGGGUAACCCACUAUGUAACUAAAAGUUCAAAAUUUUAGCAAAAAUCCAGUAUUUAAGAAAGAAGAAAGAGUGAGAAAAGGAGGAAAACAUACGAAUUCUCUGACAUCCUCGCCAUGCAAAUCCUGAAGAAUAUCGAGAAAUCGAUCCAGUAACAGAGCAUCGUACUCGAUAAGCUUGUCGUCUUCAGAAACCUUGCCAGGAGCAAGAAGCCUGAGCUGAGCAUCAAUAGAAGCCAUCUUCUCCAAAUUUCUCGCAGCCAUGGUUUGGUUGAUGCUUUUUCCUCUCUCUCUAUCUGAUUAAAAACGCUUUUGGUUAAGUGAGGGAGAGAUUCUCAAUAAUUUUCCAGAUUGACCACAAUCGGAGAAAAUCAAGGAAAUAUAUCCGAUAAAGCUGGAACAAAAAAAACAAAAAAGAUUCACUUUAAGAUAAAAUUAUGGAGUUUAUAAAAAUUUAAACGAGACAAAAAAAAAAAGAAGGAGUGGCGUAUUACUGGAGUGGGAAGUGUAGUAUUCUCGUGAUACCGAAAAACAGGUGAAAAAAAAGAAAAGAAGAUCGAGAAGUUUCGUUCACGAGGAAGACGAUGGAAAGAGAAGCGACAGGCUAAAAAAGUUUCAAAGGAUUUUUUGGUUUUUCUUUUUAAAAAAAUAUAAGAAGCGAAAAUUUUCUAGUCCAUUCGAUGUGUAGUUGUAACUUAUUUAUAGCCGAAAUCUUUUUUUCUCUCUUAGACUUUAAUCAAAUUUUAGAAAAUUAGUUAAAUUCGUAUUUUCACUCCAAAGAUUACUAAUGGGCAGUAAAAAGGGACUGAGUCAAGUCUUUGCCAACAGAAAAAUAUAGUCUUAAUGAUUUUUCGUUGCAGAAAAAUAUUUCCCAUAAACAUAAGCAAAAACUUGUAAAUUAGGAAGUUUUUUGAAUGUUGUAACUUGUACGUCGUCAUACGAAAAUGGACCAAGCUUGCAUGUGUACGGUUCUGAUGACUUUUAAGUGGACCAAUGAGUCCACUGUCCACCAAUUCGACUUUUCAUUUUUCCCUUUUUUUGACUUCUUUUAAUAUUUCACGAAACUGAAUAUCAUAUCUUGUUUUUUUGUUUAAUUUUAUCUUAAUGCAUUUGUACGAAAAAGCAUCUAACAAAAAUAUGAAAAGCUUAUACAGAUGAUUAGAUGCCAUAUAUUAUCGAAUAUGCCAAAGGAUAUGCUUUCUUUGCUUCAUAUGAAUUAUCUCCUAAAUGGUGAGGCAAAGCAAUAUAUAGCUUCUCUUCUCCUUUAAUUUUAAACUUGUAUAUUUACUUCCAGAGAAAAAAACAUUGAUUUAGUAUAUUUACUUUACUUUUUUUUUUUUUUAACAGUGAUUCAGUUUUAACUAUGGGAGAGUUAGUUUCCUUUUGAAUUAUCAAUCCAAGUAGAAGAAUUGUUGUUAAAAAAUGGGUUCAAGUGAAAACUACGAAGGAAAUUUUCCAAAAGUUGUGGAAGGAGCCAGAAAUAUAUAAUUCGGCUUUUUGACCUUUGACUUAAAACGUACCACGUCUAUUACGGUCUCUUAUCAUAUAGUUUUUUUCUUUUUUAAACUAGUAUUUGUUUUCGCUAAUUGAUUCUCGAAUCUAAGAAUAAAUAGCCAACCAAAGAUUCCAACGGGUGGAAAUAGAAUCAUAUAAAGUCCUUAUCUUAUCAAUUUAUUUUAUCACUGACCUUAUCGUAUCAUAUCAAUUUAUAAAUCCCGGACAAAUAGAAUCAUAUAAUAUGAUUUAUUUUUAAUCCAAUAUACGCAUUGUUUUAAUUUAUUUUUUCCAACCAUCGUUCUGAAUUUUUGUUGAACAAAAUAUUAUUUUUUUAAUUAAAAACCACUCAACUGAACCAUUGAUAAAUCAUAAACGAAAAAAAUAAAUUUAUAAACUAAAUUGGUAUUCAGAACAUUUUCUUUAUCUAUACUGAUUAUGUAAUUUAUGGUGAUAACUUAUAUUAUAUCUUGUGUAUUCAUUUCAUUGGUUAUCCUUGGAAAUUUUAUGUUUUGAGUGUGAAAUUUCGAAUCAAAAUAAUAUAGAAGAUUUUAUAAAAUGUUUAUGAAUGAGUAAACAUGCAUCAAACGAUUAUAUCAAAGAUGAUAUGAUCUUUAGAAAAUGUGAAAGGGCAAAUUUUUUUUUGUAUAUAACCUUUUAAUUCUUCAAGAGUCGGACGAAAGAAACAAAUACACCAAUAUUAAGUUUUUUCAUUGAUAUGAGGUGUAUAUCAAAGAGAUUUGCUCUCAUUUAAUUCCUUAUUUAACUCUAGCCACUAAAAACUUUACGAACCAAUAUCUAUAUUUUGUCCUGUUUCUCAUACUUUCUCACAUUGAAUAUAUAUGUGAUAUUUAGGAGAAAAAAACAGAGAAAAAGACAAGCAGUAUCCGACGACGAUCCGUAUGGUAAAAGAAGAUUCGUACGUAUACAUAUUUUGGUUUGCAUAAUUAUUAUAUCUUCUAUAUGAACUCAUCAAGCCACAAGUUUUAUGUUUUGCAAUCUCAUCUUCAGUAGUAGCAUCAUAGUAUUUAGCCAGCUGAUCUGUUAUUACAGUUAAGAUAUAUUAUAGUUUUAUGAAAUUGCUCUACUUUGAAUAAAAGCAUAACUAAUUCGAGCUCUUUAUGAACUUGAUCACUCGAAUAAGAUAUAUUUGCUCUCCAUCGGGAAAACACAUUUUAAUCAAUGUGCAUACAUGGUUGAUUAUUGCCAUGAGUGAUAUUACAUUUUCUCCAAACAAGUUAAGUCCGGUGCGGAAAUGGACAUUCGUAACUUAUGUGAUGGGUGAUGUUUGAUAUUAAUGGUAUAUGAUUGAGUUAUAUAGAAAAGAAACAAUAAAAGCAUAACUUUAGAUCUGAAAAUGAAAUUUGAGAUAGUGGUGGCUAGUGGGAAUAUAUUCUAACUGUUCUACGGAUAUUCUUCGGAUAUUUAUAUGCAAAUAUAAACUUGUGCAUGCUAAAAUUACCCUGUAUAUAGUAUAUGAUCAAGAUUUGCAUCGUCUCAGACAAAAAUGCAUAACAGUAACACUAUAGUAAUACAGUAAUUUACGCACACGAGUUAGCAUUUAGUUAACUAUUAUGUAGUUGUAUAUGAUGUAUUAGAGACUAGAAUGAUGAUUCAGUAUUCACUUAUUAUUACACACAUGCACAAUGACCCCAAAUAAAAAGGUGUGACUAAAGUGAUAUAUUUUUGUUUAGAGAUUACGAGUGUACCGACCAAAUAAAACGACCUAUGACAAACCCAAAAGGUCAAACCAAACGUUAUCCGUGCUUCAAAACUCAAUUUCGAGUGGUCCAAGUUACCGAGAGAGAGAGAGAGAUACGUCGAGGUCUAUAUAUGUCUAUGCAGAGAUCAUAAUAUAUUUCAAUAAAUAAAUAGUCAUAGAAAAUGAAACUGAAAGUGAAACGGAGCGUUUUAAGGUGGGGGAAGGGGGUCGAAUACGAGAACUUGAAAAGUCAAACACAAUAAAUCCUGAGCGAGAUAGUCCUGGGCUCAUAUCAUAUUAGCCCAUAUAAAUGUGACGCAAUCACAGCCCAAUAUCAAAAUCUGAUUUGGGUUAGUAAAUCAGUGGGAUCGGAUGUAAGUAAGGUCCGAAUAUGGCAGAUAAGAUAUUGACAUCAGUUUUAAAUUCUUUUAGUUUUGUUACAAUCCAUCAGUUUCAGUAUGUACUGUGUACGCCAUAUACCAAAAAUUGUUAAUGAUCGACAGUCGUUUACUUCACCAUCAAAUUCCACUAUACACCAAUAAUCAUUUUUUGAAACUUCUCAAAUAAAAAAAUCCGGCAAAAUAUGAAAACAUAUUCAAUCUUUUACAGAAUUCGCGACAGUUUAUCCGGUAAAAUUUAACUCAACGAAGUAUAUAUAUAGGGAUGAAAAAGUCCAGCCAAGUUCUCAAAAGGUAUAAUAAAACUACCAUCAUAUUCCUAAUUGUACUUUUAAAUUGUCAAAGUUUUUCAUGUAUAUAUAAUCAGCAACCAUUUUUGAAUUCAUUGAAACGAAUUCACUUGUGAAUAGUUAUGUUAUGACUUAUGUGUCAAAAAGAUAGAUUGUUCAGAACUUGUAAGAAAAUUGUAAAGUUAGUGAAUGGUACGAUAAAUAAAGAAAAUACAUGAAUACUUUUUUUCCUUUCCGAAUCUUCUUCCAAAUCUUUAGUAUUUUAAUCUUUGUCAGACUUGUCGAUAUAUCUACUCGAAUAAAGAAAGUUUUAGGUCACAAUUUAAUUAUUAUUGAUUAUUUUAUUUUUUUCCAUUACCUUAGCAAUCCCCAUUUUAUAUGUACUGUAUACAGACCGAUGCAAUGCUUUAUAAUCUGUUGAAAUUCAAUUAUUUGUUAUCGUUGUCUCAAUCGACCGACGCAAAUUAAACUGUUAUAAAACCGGUUCAUGACUUCAUAACCGAAUCUAAAACCAAAUUAGAUUGAGUCCGGUUAAAAUGAUGAAUUGACAAAAAGGGAAAGAAACAAUAAUGAAGAAAAAUGAGGGUGGGUGGGAAGACAGAUGAAUCACUAUCAACAAAAAGAGAAGCAAAGAAAAGAUUUGUGGGGGCAAAAGACUAAUGCAUAAGAGUGCCUUUGAGACUGUGACAUUUUUGGCAACUCAUGCGUGAAGAUGUUUCUUGCCCAUUGUUUCUUCAUUCAACAUGAUUUUAGAUAUGUAUCAUAUCUAUUUCUAGGGUUCUUUUCUUUUCUUUUUUUCUUUUUUUGCGGGUACCAACGUAACUUUCCAACCAAGUGGUGCUCCACAUAUGGUAAGAUAGGUUGUCCUAUUGAUCGAAGACAAAAUUUGAGACAGUACUGACUAGAACAUAUGGCUAAUCACUUUAUAUGUGAUUUUUCAGAUACAUUAGUACCAGACCUAUUACAGACCCUAUUACAACAUGUUAGUAGCGCUCUAUCAAUCAUACAUGAUACAUCACACACCAUGAGAGAUGAGUUCGAAAACUAAGAUAAAAUUAAGUAACUUAGACAUUCGUUUUAUUUCGUUCUUUUGAGAUUUUAACCUUCGCUAUGUACUGCACAUAAAAUAAGAUGCAAUUGGGGAUAAUGAGUUCUAACGAGUCCAAAACCUUAUGUGAGUUUACAAGAAACAUCAUUCUCAUCUCUAUAGUCCAAAGAUAAACACACCGUACAAAUGGUAAUAGUGGCCAUGCAUGUAUAAAGAUUCUUAAUCCUAACAAGGUGUAAGAUAAAGACGAACCAGACGUUUAAAGCAACCUCUAAACGAACCGUACACUGCCACUUGAUACAACCAAUUUUUAUUUAAUUAAAAGUGAUAAAACCCUAGAUAACGUCUGACAAUGUCGAUGCCCACUUAAUUUCUUACAGAUUUUUUUUGAAAAAGGUAAUAGAAUCUUUAAACAGUAAUCAAUAUGUGUAUGUGUGUAUAACUACUAUAGAUGCACAGUAUAUAUACCUUUACAUGAUCUACUUUAAAAACUGUGAAGUUAGAUCCACAACAAAAAAAUCUGGCAGGCCUUGCAUCUUUGACCCAUUUCUAGUAUGUUACACCUGCAUAUAUACAUACAUAUAUAUUUCCCAAGUUAAUUUUUAGGAUAUAUACCCAUAUAUAUAUAGUUAUUGUUGUUUCUUUGGUAAACUAUACACCCAUUUCUGUUUACUGUUUAAUUGCAUGUUAUAGAGGGUGAGCCUUAAAUAUGUUUUUAUUAAAGCCCAAAACAUGCUAACGUUGGAGAUUAAGGAAACAGAAUUGAACCAAUAAUAGAGUUAAACCAGGUGUUAUUCCAUUUCCAUGAGAACUUAAUUAGCAGGUUGAAGAGAAUUGAAGGCCGUACCAACUGCUUGCAAUAAUGACGAGGUAGUUGAAGCGAUUUGGGGUACGUACUCGAUUUCUAUUCGUGAUCGAAAGCGAACCCUAAAGAAUGAAGAGUUGAAACCUAUAGUACAAGCAGAAGUUGAACAUCCUCUGAACGGUUCGUCUCCAUUUGAGAAACUUUCGAUAUAUGUCACCUACACUCACAACAAGUUCUUAGGAAAAAAAACUUAUCUCAAUGCAACAACAGCACAAACGAUUUUAACAAAAAACAAAAUUUGUAUGGUUUAUUUUAGGUAGUUUAUUUGUGUGUAAACUCGUAAUUUGGACCGGAAUUAGUUCUGGACACUUUUACAUUCUUUGUUAUCUCUCUUGUAAUGAACAAAGACACCGACACCGCUUUUCUUUCUUUAAGAAGUAAGAAAAAUCACCGAAGCAGUUUCGUUGUUUUAUAUACUGAACAAAUCAUAUCAUACAUUAUAUAUAAUCUCAUAUUAAAAGAAUACAUACAUGUACAUAAACAAGAAAUUUGAUAACAAAUUAAAUCUUCCACACGCACAAAAAACAAUUUAAAUUCAUAAUGAGACCGUUUCAUGAUAAACUGAAAUAAUUGAACAUUUCGUGAAACUUGUAUUUUUAAUAAUUUAAUACAUUAAAUAUUUAAAUAAAAUGUUUUAAAAAUUAUAGCAUAUUUAAAGAAAAAAUUAUAGUUUAUUUUCUGUGACGUUAUUAUCACCAUGAACUUAGUUAUUUUUUGUUUUGAAUAAUACUUCUGCAUUCAUUGUGAUCGAUAUCACUAAAAAAAAUACAUCAUGUAGCGUCAAUUGUGUAUAUCGUUUAAGUCAGUUUUCAGUGAUUAAAAAAAUUACGUUAAGUCGUUUGCCAAAAAAAAGAAAAAAAAAAACUUACGUUAACUCUAAGUAACUGUUGUUAAUAUCCUUUUCAUUUUUCAAUUUUAAAUCCUUUACACAAGUGAUGUUGAAUAAAUGAUGUGUUCAAGCGUUUUUUCGUAAUGUGAUAAUAAUAGCCAUAUAAAACCAACGCAUUAUUAAUCGUGUGGGUUCAUAAACUUUAAGAAUGCCAUUCAUAUUCAAACGAAUAAAACCUAAGUAUAUAGAGACAACUUUGUAAACAUUUAAAAAGUUAUAGAAAAAUAAUGGCAAAAGGGAAAAAAAAUAUUAAAUAUCAUAUCCUAAACAGUCAAAUUUGACAGGUUGGAAAAUAAUAUGCCUACGCACGUGUCGUAACACAUCACAUGCCCUCUCUUUUGUUCUUUUCUCGUUUCUCUUCAACUUCAGUAGUUCACAUGGUAGUUAACCAUUUUUAGUUUCCUCUAGUUCUCUAAAGUUAAAGAACAAGACAUGAAUUAAAGAAUUUUUGAUGAAAUCUUAAAUUGCUUUGACUACAUACUCUCUUUUUUUUUUUUGGUCAAGCUGACUCUAUAUACCUUAAGAAAAUAUGACUUCACUGUCGCUAGACGUCGUCAACAAACCAAUGAGAAUUAUAGCCUAAAUUCAUUAUGUGCUAACAUUUCAUAUAUGCUACUGUUUGCAAUUUUUCAUAGCUAUAACGGUGACAAAUCCAUCUUAAAUUGCAAGGGAUCGAAUACACGGAAGCAAUUUGGUUAGAAACGGCCAUAAAAUGACGAUCAUCAUCUAUUACUAACUUUCUAUGCUUUACAUGAUAUAUUUCCAUAUUCAAACGAGUUCUUUUGGCUAUUAUGUAAAUUAAUAAUAUGUUGAAAUAUAAAUUAACAGGUGUUACUUUCUUCUCCUCAACAUGACGUAAAUAUCAGGUUUUCUUACUUCCAAAUCAUUACAACUUAGAAUUUCAAAACCAUCUUUCCCAUCAAAAAGAAAUUACAAAAAAGACAAAUUUUCAAGAUGCAAGUUACUCCGAAUUGGAAUGGGUUCAACCAUAUUAAACCAAAUCAAAAUAUGGUAUGAUUUAUUCUAGUUCAAUUAUACUAUAUUAUUAAAUUCUGAAUGUUGAUAUGUAUAGCGACAUAUAUGUAAGUAUCCUAUUAAAGAUAAGCGAUUAAUUCUGAUGGAACAUGAUAAAAGAAACCAUAUGUAACAUAGGUAGAAUAUAUAGUGGUUAGUGAGUCAUAACCUAUUACCUAGUUUUCAUGAACCAAUCAGGGACAUAGAUGCUCACUCUACUUUGCAUCUCGCUCAAUUAUUAUUUUCAUUAUAAUAUUAUUAUAUUGCAUUUCAUUGAAAAAAGGAAAAAAAGAAAGGACUAAAUCUAUCGUUAAAUUAGGCUUUAAUUAGAUUUUAUAAAAACAUCAUGUGCAAUGUAUUUCGGAGAAAAAAACAAGAUCCCUAAUUAGAAUUUGUUGAAGCAUUUAAUGAAAAAUUGACAAUGAUUUUGACUGGUACUUAACGCCUUCCUUUUUAGUGUCGCUGAACUCCUUCCAUUUGAUAAAAUGAAAUGUUUCGUAAGAAAUUUCACUCGUACAAGUAGUAAUAAACUAUUUGAAUUACCAAAUAUAUAUUUGGAGAUUUUUUUAUCUUAACUUGCAAUUCAUUUAUUGUUUCAAAUAAAUAAAUUUUAUCAUUAGUCAAUUAUAACGGAUGGAAACAUGUAAUAUACUGGUUUGCAUUGUAUCAUAAUUGAUAUGAAUUUCGAAAAUGUAUGCGUAUAUAAAUUAUAGAUGACACAAAACAACCAACAAAAUCUAUAAUGUAUUUGAAGUUAUCAAGUACAUGAAAAAUGCAAAGCAUCCAUAUUUACGAAACAAAAAUCUAGAGUUAAAAAACAAUUGAAAUCUGAUGGGGACAAGAAGUGAACCCUACAACGAAUUUUAGAUAAACAGCAUCACUCUAUAUCAACAAAAAUUGAUUGAAAUUAAAGUUGCAAAUCUGUUUAUAGAAAGAAAAAAACAAAUUGAUAUAUCAAUGAUAUGAACAACUCAUCUAUACUGAAAAGAACUAUCAUUUUUCCUUUUCGUUGAUAUCGUAAAAUACGAGAAAUGAAAACGAUCAUAUAUCAAACUGUUAUAAUUGGUACGCCGAAUAUAUUCCGCCUGUCCGGAAAAUUGGAUGGACUAUAAGUAGCUAGGCGUGUCAACAUAGAAAUUGGUAUCAACGAUUCUAGUAUUAUUUGUAUAUCAUUAAUAUUUAUUAAAAUAUAGUCUAAAAGUGAUCCACUCUAAUCUGAUUCGCUGACAAACCAAUCUGUAUUUUCAACCUGGCCGUUUUUCAUCCUACGGCGUGUUAAACCCUCGUAGACAAAUCCACAACGUUUUUUCACAUCCUUAUAUAUAUGUGUGUGUGUAAAUAUUGCUUCGUCCAACAAGAAGAGUAUUGUUUGUAGUUUUUUAAUCAAUAGAAAAUGUUAUCAUACAACCCACAAUGAGCUAACUAACACAUUUCCCAAGUAUAAAAUCCCUUUAGAAAACUAUAUAUGAUCUUGAGCUGAAGUCCAAAUAGUCUCUGACUCUCUGAAAUCGAUGUAAGCAUUGAAUCUUCUAACCAUUAUAAAGACAUAUACAGUAUCCAAUUUUGAAAUCGUGGUGGAGAACUCAAACUUGGUGAUCUUUCAACAAAAACUAUGUAAAUCUUUUUAGCCAAUGAAUUUGAUUAAUAAAUACUGAUACGUAAUUAGUUAAGAGAGAGAGAGGAAGAAAGAAAACAAAAUUUUGAAAGGGCCCAUAACAUGUCCUCUCUAACGUCAACAUCAUCUGCUACUAUUACUUUCACCCUCUCAUCAAACUCACUCAACCUUUCAUCUUUCUUUCUUAUUACAUAAUUCUUCAGAUCCAUAAAACAAAUUGAUCCCUUAACCUUCUUCACCAACAUCUCUCUUACACUCAACAAGAGAUCAUAUCAUGUCCUCUCCAAGAGAAAGAGGAAAGAGUUUGAUGGAAUCAUCAGGAUCAGAGCCACCGGUGACACCAAGCCGUUACGAGUCGCAGAAGAGACGUGACUGGAACACUUUCGGACAGUACUUGAAGAAUCAGAGACCGCCUGUGCCGAUGUCUCACUGCAGCUGUAACCACGUGCUUGAUUUCCUCAGGUACUUAGACCAGUUCGGUAAGACAAAGGUGCACGUGCCUGGCUGUAUGUUCUACGGCCAGCCUGAGCCACCAGCUCCUUGCACGUGCCCUCUCAGACAAGCUUGGGGAAGUCUUGACGCUUUGAUCGGACGGCUGAGAGCGGCUUACGAGGAGAACGGUGGACCUCCGGAGACUAACCCUUUCGCUAGCGGAGCGAUAAGGGUUUAUCUGAGGGAGGUUAGGGAGUGUCAGGCUAAGGCUAGAGGGAUUCCUUACAAGAAGAAGAAGAAGAAGAAGCCAACGCCGGAGAUGGGAGGUGGGAGAGAGGACUCUUCUUCCUCCUCCUCUUCCUUCAGCUUCUCUUAAGAGAUUCUCCAUCGUCGUGAAAGACUUUGUGGUAAUAUAUGUUUCCAAUAUGUGACUUUGCAUAAUUUACAUAUAAAGCAAGCAUAUCUGCAUCAUUUAUAUAUAACAUAUAGAUUUUGAUUGAUAUAAUAUAUAUUAUACUAUGUAUCAAAAACCCUAAUUGGAGAUACAAUUAGGCUUUUGAUUUCUGUGAAUGAUCAGCUAAAUUUUUUUCUUGAUAUUGGGUUCGGAAUUAAGGGACCGGUUUGUGAUUAGAUCUUAGGUUUCAGUGGAAGUAGAUGUGUUUUGGAAUGAUUUCUUUUAAAUCAUUUUAGCUCUUCGAAUGCAAGUUGAUUUUAGUUUUGAAAUAAUAUAAAGGAAGAUGUGUUUUCUAGUUUCUAGCAUGUAAAAUCAAUUCUUGAAUAGAUGAUUCAUUAAAUCUCUAACAUUAAAGUAAACUAAAAACAGAUUUAUUCAAAACCUUAAUUUGAAAAUGCAUCAGACUUUCUAAGCUAUGUAUAUGUGAAAUUAUAGACUAUUCAAGUUUAUCCUAGUGAACAACUCAUUCAAGAUUUGGAAAACGUACAUUUGAUUCUCAAAAGUUGAAUCCUUUCUUUAUCAACCAUGUAUGUAUAGUUGAAUAUUGGUAUAUAUGGGCCGUGUGUACACAUUGUACCACUGUUAUUUAUAUAAAUAGUACGUAGUUCAAUGAAGUAAUGAUUGGCUCUUGGAAGGCUUCUCUUUAAAGAUUUUUGUAGAUUUUGUUCCCCAUUGGUGAUCAAGGGAGGAGUUGAUUGAACCUUUUACCCCCAUUUUUAUAACCUAAAGAAAUAUUGAGAUUCCAUGAUUGUUAUCAAAGGCUAAGAAGGUUAUCUCAGAAUAGAAAUUACCUCACACAUAAUACUUUAACGUUUUUAAUUCAUACUUUUUAAACUAUUGCAAUGUGGGUCUUAGUAGAAUGAUCUCAAUAUGAACAAUUCAACCAAAUCUUUAUCAUAUACAAUCAUAUUAAUUAGGAUCUCAGAUUUUAGAGCUUGGAUUGUGACAUGUAAUUUUAGCUUUUAUAAAGGCUGUUUACUGCAUGAUCAUUGGGAAUAGUUAUGCAUUGGCAUUUUCUGAGAUUAUACAAUUAGAUUUUGUGGAAAUUAAGUUUGUCUCUUUGAAUUCAACUAAUUAAAUCAUUUUUAUUUUCUUUGAUCUCAAUUAUAAUUUCAGUCUUAAGUUUAUAUAUAAUUUGCUCAAAUCAUCUUUAUGCGUCUCCUUUAGGAUCUUUGUCACCACUAACUUUGGAAAAGCUUGAAAGUUGGUUUUGUCCCCCGCAUAGCUUUGUAGAUUUUGUUCGAUUAUACAAAUGUGACAUAUGCCACAAGAAACAUAAUUUAAGAAUAUAUUUUUGAUGAAUUCCAUAGAAGUAUGGGUUAAAAUUAAGUCUCUCGGACAUGCAUGCAUGCAUCUCGCAUAGUUAUGGCUUAAACUUGAAUUUAUAUACGUUAUCCUAUUUGCAUCUGUGAAUCUAGGUAAGCGCAUAUUACAUGUAUUUCUGGCAAUGAAUUAGUGAACUAAUCUUGAUACAAUAGAACUUGGCAGGAUCAGUAAGUCUCAAAGAGGGAUCAAAUGUAAAAGAGACCUCAAAUCUAUCUACUGGUAUCUUCAACAUAUCUUUCGGGACCAUUUUUGCAGCUCUUCGUCCCCUCCUCUUCAUUUCCGCAGAUCUCCGUCGUCAUAAAUAUCUUCAUCUAUUCUCUUAUUAAGCUCUAUUCAUAUUUAUUCUCUUAUUAAGCACUUUUCUUUUGAAUAAAGUAAGUGUAAAGAGUUUAUAUAUUGAAUUCAGGUGUGUUUUGUACUUCUUAUGUGGAUCAGCGUACUUCUAUGUCUUAUAUAAGUCCAACAUAUUGGAUUUAAAUGAAAAUUACAAUGGACUAUAUAUGGUGGAAUAGCAGAGUCCGAUGACCAAUUAUAAUUUUUGUUUUUGGAGUAUUCUAAAAUUGAUGGAUCGACGUAAUUAUAACUUAGAGAAGAAAGUGAUCAAUGGAUUAGCUUCAAAACAAUCUGUUUGAAAAUAGUAUAAAAAGUUGUUUCCUGACUGAUGUUCCCAACAAAUAAGAGAAAACCUUGAAAUUUAAACUUGUAAAAAACAAUGUUUGUAAAUGUUAAGUCUAGAUGAAAAAGACAAAAACAAGUUGGAGGAAAAUAAAUCUAGUUAAACAGAAAUACCAUUACAUUUUAUUAAUUUUCCCCCAAAACGACGAGUACAUGGUGUUAUAAUAUGAUAGGAAAAGUCGUUUACAAAACAAUCUUGGUAGGGCAAGUUCAUAUUUGUCUUCAUCGGAAUUGGCUUUAUUGUUUUCUAAUUAUCAAGCAUAUUGUGUAAAUCCAGCGAUGAUAUACCUAUAGCUCAGCUGGUGUAUUAAUUUAUGUUUUUCUAAUAGAUCAAAGUUAUGAGUCUGAGUCUCAACAAUAGUGAAGAGAUUAUUUUGUAAGAGUAACAGUUUUCAUCUUCUCUCUAAGGAAAGUAUGGUCUUCAUGAAUUUUGAAUAACACUUUGAGAAUCUUGUAAGUUGAAUAACAAGAGCAAUGAUACUCCACAAAAAUAAUGAUUUGUAUGUUCCCGUAUAGAAAUGAUAAUUGAGCAUAUUUUUCAAUUCUUCAUGCCUAAUUAACUAGAUUUUAACAUGGCUUUGGCCUUUUGUGUGUCGCCCGUUAACUAACCUCAUUUUUUUUUACAUUUACAAUUUCAUGUAAAAUAUUGAUUAUAGUUUUAUGUUACAUUUUUGUUUUAAACUCCUCUUCUCUAAAAAUAAUGUAUGUCUUCAUCUCCGCUAUCAUCAACAAGCUUCGUCGGAUUCCUUCAAUAGCUUCGGUCUCCUUCAUCUUAAAGCAACACAACUCUCAUCGUGAGACUAGUAUAAGCACAAACCUCGAUCACUUUAUUUCAUAUGGAAGCAAAGGAAUGUUCGUCUCCAAACCUAAAAUCGCGGCCUCUGGCUUCGCUCAUUGAAGAAAUCACUCGUAUCAUCUGAGUACGUGUAGGACCCCUCUUCGAGCUCAAUCUCUUCACACCAAUAGAGAAACGUAUUGUCCACUUGUUUUCUCGCCUCUUUCUCCAUCGCACGUCACCGACACUUGUGACUCCUAUUUAAAGUCUCAACUAUCUCUUUUCUAAACAUGCAUAUGUUCUAUGCUGUGUUUAAUCUUUUGCUCCUUUCCCAAUAACAAUUACUCCCUCUGUACAGUUUGUAGAAAGAACAACAAAAAGCUCGAAAAGCAAAUUUUAAUAAAUUUUGUUGACAUAUAAUCUAAAUGGGCCACAUAAGAUAACUUAAAUAAGCCCAAUUUUGUAGUAACAUAACCCAAUAUGCUAGGCCCAUAGCCUCUCGACUGUUUCCCAGUUCUCUCUUCUCAGCUCCUUAUCACAAGUCAACAACUAUCAUGUCAUUACCUAACCUAGUGAGCUACGAUUUAUUAUAUCUAAUUCUUAAAAAGUAAUUGUUCCUUCAAAUGGUAUGUUGCUUCUGACAAAUCAAAACAUCCACCAAUUUUGCUGUACCCAAAAUAAAAUCUAUAAACUAUCCGGAAUAAACUAUAUCUAUCAAACUAAACUAAAAAAUUAUCAGCUCAAGAAUUAAAUCUGAUCUCGAUUUCAAAAACAUAAUUACACAUUGAAAAUUUCAACCACAACAUCGUCGUUACACAAAACCGUUGGAACGAACGUGGAGAUCGGACGAAAGACAUUAAAUGAUAAACCCGAGAUGUCGAACCCACAUGUGACACGUGGAAUUCUAGAAACUGCUUUGUUACUAGACGUCCACGUCAUCAAUCUUUGAAAGAAAAAAAAGAGAAAAACGACAAGCAAGGCAACGUCGUGAGAGUGAGACAGCAUGGUGUACUUUGAAGGAUUAGAUUUUUAAGUUACGGAACACAAACAUUUACUUCACGUCACCACUUAUCUACUUCCACGUCACUCUCUUUUCCCACCACUUCUUUUUUGGCCAUUCUCAUUACUCUUAUAACUAAUUUUCUUUCGGUCAUUAAAUUCAAAACCCGGGCCCAGGCCCACCAAAGCUUCCAGUAAUUGGUCUAUUUUUUCACAACUACAAAUUAAUUUUAUACGAUUUUUUUUCCUUUUUGUAUCGUUUGCGUAUAACUUUUUAGGUUAGGACGAUUUUAAUAACAUAUCAUCAGUUUGAGAAAAGUAACACUAGCUAGCACAUAAGAGCAACUCCAUUGCACAUCAAUGAGAGGGUCUUUCUAUAACUAUAAUAUAAUAUAUGUAAAGAAAAUAUAUUACUUUAAUGUUUGAGUAUCUUUAAACUAAAGACAUUUUAUGGUAAAUGUCUUGUUAGAGACAUUUUUGAGAGUGUGUCUCAAAUUUAAAGACCCAUCACAUUUUAUUAUUAGUAUUUUAUAACUUCAAAUUUUUUUAAUAUUUAUGAAAGACACUCUCCAUAAUGUGCCAUGGAAGUGCUCUAAUAUUUCAACAGAAGUGAAGAUCGGAUUCAAGAAAUUUUAGUGGCCAUAACAUAUGAAAAAUUGAAUGACAUGUAAGAUUUAAGAAGUUAAAUCUUUUUGGAGCCCACUUGUUCAAGAUCCACCUUACUACACCCAAUCGAAUUAGAUUUUUUUUUCCUUUUCUUUUGGGUUAUAGAGGAGUUCCAAUUUUAGUUUCAUUGUUUUGGUUGUAAUUUCUUCAUAAAACCAUUCAAGUUCUAAUUGUUGUUGUCCAACAAAAAAAAUAAAAAAAUCAAGUUCUAACGAAAUAGUAAUAUUAUGAUUCUUGAGUAGCAAGAACGAUCAAAAACUCAAUUUUAAAAUGUUUUUGUACGUGAGAUGAAAGAAUAUUUGAACUUUUGGAGAUCUAAGUUGAUUCGUUAUGUGUUUUGAUGUCCGUCAGUUAUAUAAUAUGUGGGUAUUAUGAGCUAUGAAGUGCGUUUGAUGUCCAAAGUCUAAAAGAAAAGGUGAGCAAAAAUAAGACAUUCUUACUUUAUAAUCUGAUAAUAUAUAUAUAAUGUAGUCACUUAUCCAUACAUUAUAUAUAGGAUUAGUACCCCCUCAUCAUGCUUCAACGUGUGAUCUCUUUCUCCACAAACUAUUUUUUAAGGGACCGUGUCUUCGUAUGUGGUUUUUCUGCUCGUCUAAAAAGUCAAAAUUUCUGAUGGAUUUAUUUUACCAUCCAUUGUUUCACGUUUUCCAUUUCAUGAUUUCAUGCGUGCUAAGUAAAAGGUAACUUAAAGUAUGCUAUAUAAAUAAUUACAUAUUAUUAUAAUGAUCAUUCUAGGGAUUUAUCUAACCAAGCAUGAAUUCUGAUAAAGUCAAUUACCUUUUCUGUGAAGAAAAAAAUUACUCAACUACAAGUGCUUAUAGUUCAUGGUUUCUCGAUGGUGCAAGUGUCACUCAAGACAUCUUCCUUCACAAUUCCCUACUCACAACUAAGUGCCUUUGAUCCAGGACCAUGAGACGUCUUUUAGUUUAGCAAGUACAAAUUGUACAACUUAUUCCUUUUUUCUAAUAAUUUAAAAUCAUUCUUUAUGGAUGUUUUUGAAUAUUUAUAUCAACUAGAAAUUAAUCUGUAAAAUUUUUAGAAAAUAUUUUAAUGCAUUUGACAUGACCUCUAAAUAGUUUGAAACGGUUGAAUUGUAUACAUGGUUCAUUGAAUUAUAUUCACUUUGAUAAGAUAAUAUUGUAUUACAUUAACCAAAUAUAUGCCCAAGUUAAUUCAGCCAGUCUAUAAGCAUGGGCACAAAAACAUGGUAUAGGUCAGUGGAUUUGAAUAUAUUUAGUACAUAGUCGCGUUUAUAUGUUGACGCAUGUGUAAUCACAUGUAUAUGUAUGCGUGUAUGUGUUUUUGUGACCGGCAAGAUGAGUAGGCAAGAGAUAAUGCAUGCCCUACAAAUCUUAAAUUUCUCACUUUGUAAGGAAAAAGAGAAAAACGAAAAAUAAAAUUUAGUUGCAAAUUUCUCACUAUUGCUUUCGUGAUUAUGCUCACUGAGUUAUCCAUUAAGCUUUUUAAAAGUUAAACACUAUUUUGAAAAUAUAAAUUGUAUUUACGUUGGAGAAAUAAUCAAAACCUAUAUUUUAUUUAAUUUGUAACAUGACUGAGCGCCGCUUAUUAAGCGGGAAACGUAUCUAAUUAAAUACUCUUUGAACUGAAUCGAUUCACUGUAUUGGAUCUAUAUUUCUCUUAAAAUGGAAAUGAAGUUCAGCUUAUCUUUUAGUUGUUGCAUGCAUUCUUACGUGAUUCCAAUUAUGAAUUUGGAAAAGACUCGAUAUUCUUACAUAUAUGUUAUGGGUUUGGGAUUUAUCUAGAUCCUGAUCUUAUAGUAAAAUUAUCUGCAGUUUAAAUACAUUUCUGUACAUGACACAAAUCAGUGUUUUUGAUGCUGUUUUAUUCCGACUUCAUCUCUUGUUGCAGUCAGUAACUUAAUAUUGGGGGUUUUCUUAAUAUUUUAAGGUUAUUGAAUUCUAAAUCUUGCAAAAUAGUUGUGUUUAGUUUUAGUUAUUUUCCUAUUAAAGCUCAUGUCUAUCAACAAAGAAGGUUGGUAUUAUUCUUGAGGGACAUAAACAAAUGUUAGAUGCAUGCACGGGAAAAAGGUGGAUUGUUCUUUACAGGAAAAAUAUGCAAUUCAAGUGGGAACAUAAGGGAGAGAGAGGGAUAGGUUGAUUUUGACUCUUGCAAUUUGAUUAUAUAAUAUCAAAUAUGUAUAUUUGUUUAAUGAUUAAGAACAAUUGUCAAGUUACGGCGAUUCCAUAAUAAUACGAAUGAUCUCACAAACAAAAUUUGCUGUGCCUCUACCAAAUGAAGUAUUGGUCAACUUGUGACAAUGGCGAUGAUUCAAAUCUAUUAUCUCAUACAAUUUUUUUAAAGAUAAGGUAUUUUUUGUAAAACAUUUGAAAGGAGCUUAAGUAACUAUGACACAUACUGCAUGUACAGUAAAGCAUACAUGUACCCGUAAUUACCAAAUUCGAAGAUCAAAGUUUCGAAAUCUUUUGAGUCGGUUAAUGUGUAAAUCUCUCUUUAUCAUACCAAAGUACAUGCAUAGAUUACAACUAAAAGCUGAUGAGAACACACGAACGAAAUGAAAUAGUCAGGACAUUACAUGCAAGCAUGCAACUUCGUAUAUCCUAAACCUUUCAUUUUGAUUAGUGAUAUAAUGAUAUUUACAUUCAUAGAGAAAAAAGGGUAUGCAACUAUGAUUUUGGUUUCUCCAAAAUAGUAUAUCAUCGUAUAAGUACGCAUAACAAUCUUUUUGACCAAUGACAACACAAUCCCAUUAUCUAUUGGUUAUGAGUAUUUUGAUAAAGUAAGGAUUUAUAAAGUACAAUUUGAGGAUGAAUAUUUUGUAGGCUUAAUUAAAGAAUGUAUGUUCUAUUUUUUUUUUUUUUUUUUUUGACAUCGUAUGUUCUUAUAUAAUUAACCUCAAAGAUAAUUUAGAUUUAAUCAUUUAAAUACAUAUGAUUUUUCAAUCAAAUUACCUCAAAAAAGGAAAGAAUUAUAGUACUAUCUAUAUUAAAAAGAAAAAAAACAUAAAAGAAGAGAGAAGAAGAAUGUCAGUAUCAUCACGUGGCUCUCUCUCUGCCCAACACAAAUCUCUUCUUCUUCCUUCUUCCCUCUUUCUUCUUCUAAAAUCUCCUCUCUUGUAGAUUUGCCGCUUCUCAUGGCUUCCACUACUCUCUCCGACCUCCCUGACGUCAUCUUAUCCACCAUUUCCUCUCUCGUAUCCGAUUCCCGAGCUCGCAACUCUCUCUCCCUCGUCUCUCACAAAUUCCUCGCUCUCGAACGAUCCACUCGCUCUCACCUCACUAUCCGUGGCAACGCUCGUGAUCUCUCCCUCGUCCCCGACUGUUUCCGAUCAAUCUCACAUCUCGAUCUCUCUUUCCUCUCCCCAUGGGGUCACACUCUUCUCGCUUCUCUCCCAAUCGAUCACCAGAACCUUCUCGCUCUCCGUCUCAAAUUCUGUUUCCCUUUCGUCGAGUCUCUAAACGUCUACACACGAUCUCCGAGCUCUCUCGAGCUUCUACUUCCUCAAUGGCCGAGAAUUCGCCACAUCAAGCUCCUCCGAUGGCAUCAACGAGCUUCUCAGAUCCCUACCGGUGGCGAUUUUGUUCCUAUUUUUGAACACUGUGGUGGUUUCCUUGAGUCUUUAGAUCUCUCCAACUUCUAUCACUGGACUGAAGACUUACCUCCUGUGCUUCUCCGCUAUGCUGACGUGGCGGCGAGGCUUACACGGUUAGAUCUCUUGACGGCGUCGUUCACCGAGGGAUACAAAUCAAGCGAAAUCGUUAGUAUCACCAAAUCUUGCCCUAAUUUGAAGACUUUUCGUGUAGCUUGUACGUUUGAUCCGAGAUACUUUGAAUUCGUCGGAGACGAGACUCUCUCCGCCGUAGCUACCAGUUCCCCUAAGUUAACGCUUCUACACAUGGUGGACACAGCUUCGUUGGCGAAUCCUAGAGCUAUUCCAGGUACGGAAGCUGGAGAUUCAGCUGUCACGGCGGGGACGCUAAUUGAAGUUUUCUCAGGUUUACCGAAUCUAGAGGAGCUGGUUCUUGACGUAGGAAAGGAUGUGAAGCAUAGUGGUGUAGCUUUAGAGGCAUUGAAUUCUAAAUGCAAGAAGUUAAGAGUAUUGAAGCUAGGACAGUUCCAAGGUGUUUGCUCUGCUACAGAAUGGAGGAGGCUCGACGGUGUGGCUUUAUGUGGAGGAUUGCAGUCGUUGUCGAUUAAGAAUUCCGGCGAUUUGACUGAUAUGGGUUUGGUGGCUAUAGGGAGAGGAUGUUGUAAGUUGACUACGUUUGAGAUUCAAGGGUGUGAGAAUGUAACAGUGGAUGGACUAAGAACAAUGGUUAGUCUUCGGAGUAAGACUUUGACUGAUGUGAGAAUCUCUUGCUGCAAGAAUCUUGACACAGCUGCUUCUUUAAAGGCAAUUGAGCCGAUUUGUGAUCGGAUCAAGAGACUGCAUAUAGACUGUGUGUGGUCUGGUUCAGAGGACGAGGAGGUAGAAGGAAGAGUGGAAACUAGUGAGGCUGACCACGAAGAGGAGGAUGAUGGUUACGAGAGGAGCCAGAAGAGGUGCAAGUAUUCAUUCGAGGAAGAACACUGCUCAACUAGUGAUGUGAAUGGAUUCUGUUCUGAAGAUAGAGUAUGGGAGAAACUGGAGUAUCUAUCUUUAUGGAUCAAUGUUGGAGAAUUUUUGACGCCAUUACCUAUGACAGGACUAGAUGACUGUCCGAAUUUGGAAGAGAUUAGGAUCAAGAUAGAAGGAGAUUGCAGAGGUAAACGCAGGCCAGCCGAGCCAGAGUUUGGGUUAAGUUGUCUCGCUCUCUACCCAAAGCUCUCAAAGAUGCAGUUAGAUUGCGGGGACACAAUCGGUUUCGCACUGACCGCACCGCCAAUGCAGAUGGAUUUGAGUUUAUGGGAAAGAUUCUUCUUGACCGGAAUUGGAAGCUUGAGCUUGAGCGAGCUUGAUUAUUGGCCACCACAGGAUAGAGAUGUUAACCAGAGGAGUCUCUCGCUUCCUGGAGCAGGUCUGUUACAAGAGUGCCUGACUUUGAGGAAGCUGUUCAUCCAUGGAACAGCUCAUGAGCAUUUCAUGAACUUUUUGUUGAGAAUCCCAAACUUAAGGGAUGUACAGCUUAGAGCAGACUAUUAUCCGGCGCCGGAGAACGAUAUGAGCACAGAGAUGAGAGUUGGUUCGUGUAGCCGAUUCGAGGACCAAUUGAACAGCCGCAACAUCAUUGACUGAAACUUGAAGAGUGAGUUACCUACACUAUUAUAUCUGUAUUGACUUCAGAAACUGGUCCAUUUUAUUUGUAUGGUCAAGAGUGUUUUGUAUAUGUUUGUAAGAGGAAAGGACAAAGACUAUAAUUUGCGAUGAUUAAUGAUAUCAUAAAACAAUAAUCCAUUUUUAUAAAUGAUAAAACUCAAAUGAAGAAGCCGGAGAGAUCUGGAGUACAAACUCAAUGAGUUUCUCACAACUAAUGCCUCAACAUAUUACACACAGAAAGAACAAACAACUCACAGAAUCAGCAAAUCGGAAUCUCGCAGGUCUUAAGACGGUGCAGUAUCUCUUUACAGCUCGGCCUUUGCUCUGGUUCCGACCAACAAUCUAUAACAAGACAAAGUUUCCAUAAGCAUCUGUUUACUAAAAUAUAGCAAGGGUUCCAAAAGAAGCAACAGUUAGGUUUCGAGGAGUCACAAACCUGCAAUAAGCUUCUGUAGUGGUCCUUCAGGUAUUUUGAGCCGGGCUCCUUCGUUUGCAACGAUAUGAAUGACCUGAAAGCAAAAAUACCAAGAGCCGGGUUUAGAUUCGAUGUUUUUAUUUAGUUACCAAGUGUUUUUCAUGUUCAACGAACAUACUUUUUCUUUUGGGACUCCUUUCCAGGGCUUGGAUAGAGUGCUAAGUUCCCACAUUAUAACACCAAAGCUAAAGAUGUCGCUUUUUUCUGUGACGGGUUCAUUGCGGAUAAGUUCAGGAGCCAUCCACUCAGGAGUUCCUGCAGCUUCAGUAUCUUUCACUGCCGUACCUGUCAUCCUUCUCGAGAGCCCAAAAUCACAGAUCUUGACUAUCGACUUGUUUAACAGGCAGUUCGCACUGGUUAGAUCACGGUGGACUAUCCCCAUCUUGUGUAUGUACAUCAAACCCCUGUGAAACAAAAAAAUACAAAUGAUUAUGAGAGCUUCCUGGCACUAUUUCUAAGUUUUGUUAUGUUAAAAGGAGACGGUGUGAAUCUUGAUCCUUAUGAGAACUUGGUGAUCAAAUCUAUGGAGUGUCUCUAGAAAGCUCUAAAUGUGGCGAAAAUAUUAACGGAAAGUAUUUAGUGUAGAAAUGAAACACCUGCAAAUUUCAGCCAGAAUCUUUAGUUUCCUUUGCCAGCUCAACUCCUUUUUUCUGGUACGGAUCACAUCAUACAAGGACCCCGUACUCAUAUACUCUGUGACCAGUGAUAACUGAGGAGGCUUUGUGCAUGCUCCAAGGAGCAGAAUAACUACAAGAUGUCAUGACAUGCCUCGUUACUUGAAAAAUGGUUUUAAAAUCUUACAAAUUGACCGCUUGAGGAUCGUUGGACAAGUAAUCAAAGCAAAAAAAGAAAUAGAUGAUGUUUACCAUUGGGAUGUUGAAGACGGCUGCACAGAAGAGAAGACAGGAAGAAAGGUGAGAAGAUAAGUUGCAAAGGCACAGAAAAAAUUAAAGGACACAUACCUAAGAAUAGAUAUCUCAUUGCAGAAAACUUUCAUGUUCUCAGCUGUAAGCUGUUGUCCAAGAAAUAUCUUGAUCGCAACUUCAGUUUUAUUCCAGACGCCACGACAUACUACUCCAGAAGUUCCUGAAUGACAUAUAACAACAAAAAAGAGUUAAUAGGGUUUCAAAGGAAAAUGUAUACUUAUGCUCACAGACCAUAUCCAAGUUUUCUUGCUGAAGAUAUAUGCCUAACACAACAGAUAGAUGGAAUUCGAAAACACUCCACACGUCUUGAUAUAAAAACGAUUCUUAUUCUUACCACUCCCAACAGAAGCCCCAACUUUCAACUUGGAGAAAUCUAUGUUCCAUUCUUCAAAUGGUAACAAAGGUUUAUUCUGGAACAUUGGAGACUCCAGCACUUCAUUCCAAAUGUGGCUUAUUUCUUGAGGUGAAUGUUCACUUCUUUCAGAUAAUUGAAUUUGAUAGCUUCGCGGAGAUGACGGCAAUGAUAUUGACUUCCGCGGAUAUACUGUCGAACAUUCACCAGACACUAGGUCAUGGGAAUCAAGCUGGAAACCAGAGACCUAGAAGCAGAAAUAAGCCCUUAUAAGGAAAUUUAGUAAAAAAUUCUGAGAUAUCCAUACUCUUCUCACAAAUAUUUUCUUAUAACAGCAUAGAACAAUUUUCCAUUUUUUAUUGCGACUUAUUGAAACAGGAAAUGGAUGUUCUGCUUUUGUUUUCUCAAACAAAGAAUCACAACACCAGCACUUUCCCUAAAAUUCCUCUUUCUAAUUUCAUGAACUGUCAUUUCAACUUAGGCGAAGAGAAAAGAUACAGAAAGUGUUCUGUAGUUCGCAUAGCUGCCAAACAUACCAUAAGUAUUUCAAUGACGCAUAUAUCAAGACGCCUUUAUAUAUCAAUAUGAGAAUUCAGGAAAACUGUUACAUACAUUCUUUUCAUCUGGAGAGUAAGGAGAUGAAUCAUCAACACCUCGCUCUUUCAAGAGGUCACUCUGCAUCAUUGUUGCCCUGAAACAGAUUGUUAAGUUUACUUUAAACAAAAGAUAAUUGAUAAAACCAUUCAAAUAUUAGUGACAACAACAGCCGAUACAAAUGCUACAAACUCUCACUACCAUAUGUGGAAGUCUGUACAUGAUGCAAGCAAAUGCUAGUUUAGUUAUAUUAUGUGGUGCUCAAGAUUUAUGAAAGAUAAUAACGCAAGAUCUUUGCCUAUUGUCAAAUUUUUAUAUAAUUUCCAUAAGAGAUUGUACCGCCAGUUAUGUAGGCCAAUGUUCACAAUAAAAAACGAAAUGACAGCAACCUCAUUUGGUAACAUAAGGAUGACUGUGAACACAUGUUUUUUUGUCUUAUAAAACAAACACUUGCCUGGCAAUGUCAUUGUUUAGAUCAGGAGUAUUCAUACACCUUCCAUUUGUUCUCUUACUUUCCGAUUCCGCUGCUCCUGAGUUACCACUGCACAUUAAAAAAUGAAAACAUCAGCCUUCUUUAUGCAUUACAACCAUUUUUUUCAGCCAAAACGUUCUUGUAAGCCAGACAAUAAUGACUAAGAAAAUGCCAUGAACUUUUGCAGCUACAAAAAUCAUAUAUGCUUUUGAAGCAAACUCAUCAAUUGCAGUACAUAUUGAAUUCACCUCAUCUGAUAGUUAAGCCCAAUACUCUCACAACGUAACUCAUAGCUCUUGCAUUGUAGUUGACUAGAAUGGACUUUAAUGGUUACCAUAUUUCACCUUUUAUCAAUAAAGAUAAUUGACAGAAUUUGAGGGAACAUGACGACACCCAAGUUUUAAGAGAGAAGUAGCAUGGAAUCUAUAUACAACUACUUAGCAUUGAAAAAGUUUAUCAAAACUACACCACUGUUGAAAGGAAAUAUAUAUUGACUAACAAUUUAACCUGAAAUCAGCAGGUGGCGGUUCCUUGAUGACCUUUCUCCGCAAAACUUCAGUAGCUAUGUUUGGCUCGCCUAGUGAACGACUGAGGAAACAACAAAAGUUACUUUUAUACGUGCAUAACGCUUUUGCUUGCCCUAUAGAGAAACAUAAGAUAUAUAUGGUAGCAAAUAUACAAACAUAAUCAAGAAAACUAAACAAGUAUGCUUAUCACCUUAAACCGGAUUGUAAUGCAGAUGGUGGACCAGACCGUUCCAUGGGACUGUUUGGCUCCAAUGGUGAAGCACAAGGGUUAUUGUCUACAAAAUCAGGCUGCCAUGCCAUUGAGAUAUGAGCCAUAUAAACUGCCUUGGGUGAGAAGGGUUUAAGCUGACCAGGACAUCGCUUAAGGUCGACUAGCAUUUCAACAUUAUUGAGCUCAACCACAGCAGAGAUAUGAUUAUAUGAGUCGAUGCUAGCAGAAAAUCUCAGAUCAGUAGGGAAACCCUGAUCAAGAAAUUUAACCGAAAUGCCAAGUUAUCAGAACCAAUCAAUGACAUGAGGAAAUUGGAGUUAUAACCAAAGCCACUGAUCACGUUUUUAUACAGUACAUACCAUUACAAGCUUACUGUCAAGACCAACAGCAUCAGCUAGAACUUUAAAGAGGAUUGCUCGUGCACGACAAGAACCAUGCUUGAUUUGUCCUAGCAGGGUAAACCCUUGAACGUCAAAAUAUUGCAGCGUUCUUGCCGGACUCUGCAGAGUUUUUCUUUUAUAUAUAUUUGCCACCUGCCAUAAGAAGGAAAAAUCCAAUUCAGAUUUCCCGAUAAUCUAAAAGAAUAUAAUGAGGUUGCUGAAAUAAUGUGAUGUGCCUUAAGAGUCUAAUAAAUGGGAUUACAGUUAUUUGUUUUCUUAUUCAGAACCAAAUAUUUAUUGCAUGCAGCGAUAAGAUAAAGUAACAAAAUGACAUGCAUUGUCGCCAAAGUUAGUUCACUAGAAAAUGAGAUGAUAAAAAGAUGCUCGCCCAUUCUUACCAGUCCAGCAAUUUUCUUAAUAACUUUAUCGGAGUCCAAUCCUGUGACAAGUUUGAUGACAAACUCCUUUAUCAAAACAAGCUGUAUAUCGUUCUUAAGAUCUACAAAAAUCGCAUCAGCCUUAAGACGAUCUUCCCCCAGCGCAUUAAUUUCUUCCAAUGUAGGAAUGCUUUUAAAAUGCAUCAAUCUCUCAACCUGUUGAAAAAUUCAACAACAUAAUAAGAUAAGAAAAUGAUUGUUGACAAACAGCAGCACGUAACCAAGCAUUAAUAAAGCUAACUGAAAUAUUAUUGGACAAAGAUAAUACCAACCUAAAGAUAGCUUACCGGGAUCACAGUGUAAAAACCACUUGGGAUCGGGUCUGAUAAGGACCCAGUACUCCAAAAAAUAUUCGAUGCUUCAUAACUUGACACCCCAUCUUGAUCAAGAUUAGAGGUUUCUGCUAGUGAUCCCUGACAUACAGGCACGUAUAUCUUCUCAACUUCUGAAGGCCUCAAGGUAGGACUUGGUGGAUUUGGUUCUGAUGGUCCAGCAUCAUCAGUAUUAGAGGUUUCUACUAGUGAUCCCUGACAUACAGGCUCGGAUGUCUCCUCAACUUCUGAAGGCCUCAAGGUAGGACUUGGAGGUCUUGGUUCUGAUGGUCCAGCAGCAUCUCUUGCCUCUACCACAGUCAUCUCCCUAAGGUCUAAAAUCACAAGAGUGUCUCCUUAGCCCAUAGGUUUCACUCAAGAAAAGACGAAUAACGUAGGUACCAAAAUAUUAAGAAUCAAACUUCGCUUACCAGUAGCUUGGACCUCUAGGUCAGCUAACCUACAUAGGCAAAAGCAGAAUGGUUAAGUAAAUAUAGACUCGGAUAUACUGUUGCAGAAAUAAAUGUUUCAGUGACAUACUAAGUUGCAUUCCAUAUAUUCCUUAUCAAAGCAUUUAACUAGUAGACAAUUCUCAAAGACUGGCUACAAAACUUAUUCAAAGUGUUGGACUUUUCGAUACUUAUAGAAGAGAUUCACUUCAAUAAUUCAGCCUCAGAACUUACGACAAGAUCACGGAACCAUUUGAUUCCACCACUGAUCCUCGGUGACCUCUGCAACACUUAGCUCCCAUUUUCAAGUCCUCGGUUGCAAAAUUUCAAAUUCCUGCAUAGAUUUCAAAACCCAUUUCAAAAUAAAAUCCCACCAACUUCGAUGGAUUCAAACACACAAGAACCCAUAAACCAAACGGUCUAAAAUCAUAUAAGAAAAGGCUAAAGAGCAAAAGAAGAAUAAGGGUUUAUGAAAAAACUCACAGAAAGCAGAUAAACGUCCUUCCAAUUCCAAAAUCCAGCAAUCAAUCUGCUUAAAUCGCACUGCGAAACAAGAGAAAGACAGAAGAGAGAUCUGAAGAUUGCCAUGAUCAAGCAACAAAGAGCUAAACGUACACACAUAUAGAGUAUGUGUACGUAUAUGCAUAGAGAUUUGCAACAGAGAUUCAUGAGAUAAAAAUUGGAUUUUGGAGGUUUUGAAAGUUUUGAUUUUGAUGGCGGAAGAAGCAAAAACACAGUCAAGGGGUUUUACGAAAGUGACGAAGCAAGUCACGUGCGAGGGAUUAUGAGUCACGUGCCGAGAAGCACUUAUUCACAGGAUAUAUUUCAUAAGUACAAUUUUGUCCUCUACCUACAUGGAUUGUUUUUGUCAUCCAUUUCUAUCUCAAAGAUCUUCGAAACAAGAUACAUAUUUGAUAGUCAUUACACUAUGAAUGACAAUAUAUUAUCAGAUUGUUCAUGCAUAUGAGAUAGAUUUCUUAAAAGAGGAUGAUGUAAAUGAACAAGAAUCUAACAAGAGUUUGAUGAAAAAUGAGGAUGAACUUUUUUUGAAAAGAGUAUAAUAGAAAAUCAACGAAUGUAUUCAAUCUUCGAAAAAGAUUGCAAUAAGAAUGACUCAAGAGAAUUCAUCCUACUUCAAUAUUGAUGUUGAUUAUGAUACUUACACGUCAACAACAACAGAUCAUCAAAGUGUUUGGCAGUGCGGCUAUUUCUUUGUUUGUCAAAAACCUGACAUUUCUAUCAUUUCAUGUAUUCUCUCAAUGAACUCAAUAAGAUAUCACACAUUUUGGUUUAUAAAGAAAUCCCUCCAUUUAUAUAGUACUUACAUAAAGAAAAGUGUUUGAGAAUUUUGUUUUGGUUAUCUAAAUAUUGACAUUUUCAAUUAAUGUGAUUCUCACUUUUUUCUUAAAGAAAUAUUUAUUUUUAAAGUUUGAAGAGCUAUAAGAGGAAUUAGACAUUUUGCGAAGGGAAUAAAAACUUGAAAAUAAAGAAAACAAUUUUAUUAAUAAUUAUAUUGUCCAGGUGUAUAUACUUUAUUUCUUUGUAUAUAAAAAUUAGCAUCAAAUAUAUUUGGUAAGUACGUUUUAGACAAGUAUGGUAAAUGACAGCCAAGUACUACAUGACUCAUAUUUUAUAUAAUUAAUUUCAUAUUUUAAAUUUAUAUCUAUAUCUACAUUAACAUGAAAUAAAAAAGAUUUCAUGUAUUGAUAAAAUAAGCUAGUUUGUCAUAAUUUCCUAUAUCUUAAAUCUUACCAAUUACCAUCUUCUAAAAGUUUCUCUUACCACACAAAAAAAAAAUCUUCAAAACAUUUCUCCUAUGCAAAACUUGAGGACAAUUUAUAAAACAACAUAGUUAAGCCCAUUAACUAAUAUUAUGGGCCUUAAGAAACGCAAAACAAACUCGUUUAAUAGAAAAGAUUUCUCCGAUGCAAAAACUUGAGGACAAUUUAUGAAAACAAUAUAAUUAAGCCCAUUAACCAAUAUUAUGGGCCUUAAGAAACCCAAAACAAACUCGUUUAAAAGUCAUCGUCCUCCGUAAACCCUGAAUCUUCCUUCACAGAACCCUAAAUAACUUUUCUUUUCCUCCGACCACCGCAGCUCAGCCGCAACCGCCGCCACCACUUAUGUCAAGAGUAAGUCCCAAGACUGUGGACGAUGCAGUUAAGGCUCUGGUCAAAGAGGGAAACGAAAAAUCAAGGACGGAGAAGCCACAGCUUCUAGAAGAAGACGGAUUCUUUUACCUAGUCGUAGCCCUAAAGAAGAUUCCACAGAGGAAUUUUACGAACGCUUAUCGUAUUCCUCUCCCGCAUCCGCUAAUUAACACUACCGAAGACUCACCGGAGCUCUGUCUCAUCAUCGACGACAGACCUGAAAGUGGUCUCACCGAGGAAGAUGCGAAGAAGAAUAUCAAAUCAGAGAACAUACCAAUCACGAAAGUUGUUAAGCUUUCGAAGCUGAAAUCGGAUUAUGGAUCAUUCGAAUCGAAACGGAAGCUUUGUGAUUCAUACGAUAUGUUUUUCUCAGAUCGGAGAGUGAUUCCUAUGUUGCCAAAAUUGAUUGGGAAGAAGUUCUUUCAGAGCAAGAAGACUCCUGUGGCUAUUGAUUUGAAGCAUAUGAAUUGGAAAGAGCAGAUUGAGAAAGCUUGUGGUGCUGCUAUGUUCUUCAUGAGGACUGGGUCUUGUAGUGCGAUCAAAGUUGCGAAAUUGUCCAUGGAAAGCGAUGAUAUCGUUGAGAAUGUGACGGCGACUUUGAAUGGUGUUGUUGAUGUUUUGCCUAGUAGGUGGAAAUACAUAAGAUCUUUGCAUUUGAAGUUAUCUGAGAGUUUAUCUUUGCCAUUAUAUCAGACAGUGCCUUAUUUGCAGCUCAAGAUUGAUCCUUUAGGUGUUGAAGAAGUUAAGAAUGGUGAAGGAUUAGCUAAAAGUGAUGUUGAUGAUAGUAGUAGUAAGAGUGUGAAGACAAAGAAGAAGAAUGGAAAGAUUCAUGAGGUUAGAUAUAUGGAUAGUAAUGUAUCUGAGACUCUUGGUGAUGAUGAAUUCGAUAGGAGUGUUGGAGAAGAUGAGGUUGCUGAUGAUCUCAAUGCUUCUGGAGAUAAGAAGAAGAGGAAGAAGAUGAGUAGUAGUAAGUCUGCAGUGAGUGGGAAACCAGACAUUGUGAAGAGUAAGAAUGGGCAAAAGUCGAAAAAGCUAAAGAAGGACAUUGAUGAGUCUGGUGGUGGAUUCAAAGCUAAGACUAAGAGGAGGUGAACCAAGAAAAGAAGAUUUUAUAUUAAUGUCGUUAUAACUAAGUAUUCUAUUCUUUCUGCUUGAGUGAUUUUUUUGGAUACUGAUUAUGACUUUGUCUUAUUAUGGUAUCAUCAUCAUGAUUCUUAUAUAUUUAGGACUUUUAUUAUCGUUUACUAUUUCAUCAAACUAGUGACUUGCCAUGUAGUUGAUUUGGUGGUUUUGACGAGGAAACAUAUUAUUACAUGUGUUUUGUUGCAUUCCAGAAUUGGUGUUGUAUUGAAUGCAGAGAAACCGCUAAGGAUAAGUACUUGCAGGAUCUGACUCAAGCCUGAUCCAGAUCCUGGCUAAGUACUCAUCCCAUGAAACGGCUAAGGAAAACAAAAGUCUCUACUCUUGAAUCUCUUUUAAAGUUAAACUUCAUCUCUCUAGUAUGUUGGUUACGGUUCUGAUGAUGUCGACAACAGAGAGAGCGAGAGCAUUGUGUUGAUAUCAUCUGUUGGUUUUUGCCUGCAAUUUCCAAACUCAGGCAACUGUAUCCCACCUCCGGACAUUGAUUUCAAUCGUUUGACUGAUGAUACUUCUUCAUCUCGGACUCUUUUCUCAUUGUUCUUCUUCCUAAUCUGCAUAAGAUUUCACCAAGAUUACAGUACCUUCCUCGGUUUUUAACAAAACUGUUCCUCUAUAACUCUUAAAACGAAAGUAGGUAGUUACCUCGAGUAGAGGCAGAGUCUUGUUCUCUGUGCUGUCUCGGUCAUUUCUGCAUAACCCGCUAAACCAGCUCGAAGGUCGCAUAAGAAAGUUACCUCCAAGAUUUGUAACGACCGCGUCUUGAUUGAGUACCCUACAGAAAAGAAUGCAAUUUUAACUUCCUUGGUCGGAUCGGAUAUACAAAUGUGAAACAUUUUAGUAACUGGAACUUGUUUCUUUGUAUGACCUCGAAGGAACGGUUUUAGAGUUAUAGGCAUGUCUUAAAUCGCUAUGAGGGAUACAUCGAGAGUCGAUCAUGUCCAUCAAAUAGCUUCUUUGUCCACUCAUGAAAGCUCCAAAUCCUGUUCAAAAGUCAUUUCCAUCAAUUAUGAAACCCAGUGAAGGAAUGGUAAAUGUCUGCGGAUCAAAACUAACUUACCAGGGCGAGAAGACGGCUCGAGCUUCUUACUUCGAUACAUCUUGAAAUCAGAAACAUGAAAACAUUGAAAAAGAUGAACAAAACUGAGAUAAUCUUAGAAUAACAGACGAUGAAGAUUACCUGUAAAUGACUCUUGACAUGUGCAAUACUCAAUCCUUUUAGAUUCAUCAUCUCAAGAACCAAUUUCGGCGUCGCUCCUUUAAAAUCAUACAACAAUUACAUUACAAAGCUGAGAGAGAGAAAGAGAGAAAGAGACGUGGAGAGAGAGAACAAGAAUCCUACUGUCUGGACCGCCUAGUCGUUGGACAGCACGAACGAAGGAGAGAUGAAGAUCAGGCGUCCAACGAAGCCGAGGCAUGUUGGACCGAAUAUACUGUCUAACGUUAUUCGUGAUUUGGUCUUCGUCUUCCACUGAUGACUCUUCUUCAUUGUUCUUCUCCACUGUUUCUUCUCUGUUCAGGUCAAGCCACGUGGAGCAUUUUCCCGGCGAAGAUCUCCCGGCCAUGUCUCUCCGGCGAGAGUGUCUUUAGCUAGCUCUCGAGAUCAAUUACUCAAAAACAAACAAAAAAAAACCCAUGAGAGAGGUUAAAUCUCUAUGAUAAUUUCGGCGUUGGCUUCAAUAAUACUAGCUAUAAUCAUAUAUAUACACUUAUAAGUAUAUAAUAUAGUCUUAUUUGUCGUAAACUAUAGUAUAUAAUUAUAUAGAUAUAUAAAAUUCUUAUCUAUGUCAUGCAUGUUUACGUAUAAUUGUAUGUUUUUUUUUAAUGGAAAAGUGUGUUGGAAUCUUCCGUUUGGUGAAAUCACAUUAGUUAUUAGGUUUUGCUUCAUUUUUGUUAACAUACCAGAAAAAUAUCCGUUUGUUCUUUUAGUGACAAUGACAUGUAAACUUAUCUCCUUUACUUCUUAAAAAUAAUAUCUUUCUUUAAACAAGAUUUAAAUAUGGUGAAUUUGAAUAUGAAUUCAGAUUCCAAAAACUAUACCAUUUCUUAAAACAUCUUCUGUUUACCUAACGUGCCUUUGAUAUAUAUCAUGUGACAAUGGCUAGGCUAUUUAAAUUGGUUAAUUAAUCAUAUAUUUGAUAUCAAGCAUAUUGGUUCAAAUAGUCCAGUCUAUAUGUAUACACAAUUGGCAGUCGAAUAUUUUGUGUCAUUAGAAUUGUUGUUUUGUGAAUGAUGUAUCAAACAUUUCAAUCCGACCAAACCACUCUUGUUUUUCUAACAAUUUUCUCUUUAAUAAUUUCCAAUUAAGUUGACCUUUGCCGGAGACUACGCUUUACCCUUUUGUCAUAUUAAACCACGUUUUUGAGUGUCUCCAAAACAACUUAAAAAAAUAAAAAUCAGAUUAGCAUUGGGGAACUCAAACGGAACAUGAGAACUAUCGAUCUAAGCCGAUUGAUUCGAACCCUGAUAGACAAAAGGUACAAACUAUUGUCUACCUCUCAACCGAUUACUAUGUGGUGGAAUGAAUUACGUUUCUACGCAUUUGGUUUUAUCAUGAUGGCUAUUGAUCUAUAUUCAUGUUUCUCAUAUACUUAGGUUAAAUACAUGACGGUCUUCAAUCCCAACGUUUGAAAACAGAAUUUAAAUAAAAACUUAAGAGAGAAGGGAGUUUUGUCAAAUGGUUAAGGAUGUGAUUCCCAAAGAUUCUUGAGUUCACGUAUGUACAAAACAGAAGUUGUCUUUAUCUUUUUGGUUUUAUUAUUGGUGACCCUUUUCAAUGGGCAUUGGGUUACACACCUCCAUAUAUUAGUAUUUGGUUUCUCUUCGAGAAUUGGCUAACUAUAUGUUUUUGUAGGGCUUACCAACUUACCAAUCAGUAUAUAAUUCGAGAGAGGUAACUAAUAAAUAAUUACGGGUAUAUUAUCUUUGAAUGCAAUUUUUUAAUUGUUCAAAUUAGGCAAAGCAACUUUCUUUCUAGAGUGCAAUCUUUGUCUUUAUUGUCAUCUUGUGAGUUGAAUUAGUAUUUGUAAACAUAGAUAAGCUGUCGUUAAUCAUAAAUUCUCAAAAUAAGUUUCAAAUCAAGAAAAAUAAGUACAAACACUUUUUACAAAAUUGAACCAAGUUUUAUGUGAAAUUAAUAAGGACCUCAAACCCUACACCAAAUUAAUUAUAAAUCGUCCCGAUGCAAAUUUCCGACACUCUAUGUCUAUGCACACACAUAUCUAUACAAGCAUUUUGGAACAUAUAUGAAAACGCGAUGGGAUCAAAUUUCAACGCUCGUAUUCAUAUAAACACAGCUUGAAUGUUAUAGAAUUUCUAUGAAGUCUUUUACCAUGAUCGCCCUCGAUCUUCAAAUCUAGGGUUAUGGACAGAUAGAGAGAGAAAGAAAGAUAGGAGAUGAGAGAGAAGAGAAGAUAGGACAAACAUUCGAAGUAAUUAACUAAGAUUGAAGAGAGCAUUGAUGGGAGAGAAGGAAUCGUAGAGGCUCAUGUGGGCACUAAGAAAGAUGAGGAAACUUUGUUUUGUCCUAACCUGUUUACGUACCGACACUUCAUUCACAAUUCCUCCAUUUCCCAUGCUCUCUUUUUAUGGAAUAUAUAAUUUCAAAUUGUUUCAAUAGUUCUUGAAUUUCUUUAAACGACAUGAAUUUCUUUGGUUAAGAGAAUCUUUUGUCGAGUUCUACUUCUUCCAAGAAAAUUCUUUUAUAUUUUACCAUUUCAGAGGAUUUUUUUUUUUGUGAAUGUUUACUAGAUACGUUUUAUAUGUACAAACCAUUUAUUUUUUGACAAAAAAUAUAACAACUGUUUCCCUAAAGGACGUUUUAUAUGCACAAAACCAUUUUUAAAUGUAAAAAGGACGUUGAUCCAGUUGAUAUAUUUAUUUAUUAUGCAUGCAAGAAGCUAAAAAAUUCUGCAUGUUGCCCUAAAGAAUCGCCGCAAAAUGAGGCACCGUCUUUGAAUUCUUCCUCAUCACAUGCCUACGUAUCUUUAGGACCAUGAUUAUUAGCUUCGAUCUUCUUUUCUCAAAAGUUUUAUUUAUACACUCAUAAGAAAAAUGCAUUAUAAUGAAGAGUAACAAUUAACAAAUUAAUAACGUAACAUAGUAAUGGUUUCUCUUGAUCUUUUCUAAGUUGUUUCCAUGCUUACUUUUGUUCGUGGUUGCGUACUUGCGUUCAAAGCGGUUGGGAUCAAAGGGUAUCACACCUCAAUCAGCAUGUUAAAAAUUUCCACGAUUAUAUAAACUUUACUCAUGAAGGAACGGGCUCAUCUAUUUCAAUUUUCAACCAUGAUUACCCCGAAAUGCUUUCUUUAUUCUCUUUAUAAUCCUGGUCUUUGGGUCUAGGUCUAGGUCUAGGUUGGGACCAUAUCAAUGUUCGUUGUUAAACAUUUUGUUUUUUUUAUAACCAAAGAAUCUGGACCAAAAUCUAGACUAUUCUCAUUUGCCCUGUAGAUUACAAAUCGGAUAUUCUUACCAUUUAAGACGUCUAGUAUUGAAAUCGCAAUGCAAAUUUUUUGGAUCCUAGUCCCUAAGCCCAUGCUUCAACUACAUAUAAACCACUAUGAUUCUAUGAAUUAGUUUGGUUGUUCAACUUCAUCAUCAUAAAUAAUUGAUAAUUCUGAUUUUCUUCAUGAAAACCGAAAUGGAUAAAGUGGAGAGCUAAUUUAUCCAUUGACCAAAAAAUAAAACGAGAGGAAUGAAAUUCCAUUGAAAUCCACUAAGCAAAUAGAGUGUAUCCACUAAUUUUAUGAUAAUAUCCACUAAGUCCUUACGUAAUAAAGACUCAGCCAGCCGCUUGGUAGAGGGAGAUGGGAUUUAGUCUUACGUAGUAGCCAGAAUGUGAUUUUGUUUUUUGUUCAGUUUUGCUUUGUUAGACUUAGAAAAAGCCAACGACGCCAUUUCAUUCCCUUAUUUUUUAAAAACAGUAAGAUCACACAUCCCAUGAACUUUACUCCGAUUUCCAAAUCAAUCCCAACUUAGUUACCAACUGCACAACCUACAAAUUGGGCGUAUCGGGGCAACUUCUAUGCUGGUGUGACCUUACCAUAUGAAGGAAGAAACACAACUAUGCAAAACGAGGUUUAAGGAUUUUGUAAACACAACCAUUAGAGAAGUCUAGUACCGAAGACUAAAAACCAUUAGAAGUCUUUUGCAAUAUAAUGAAACGGAGACACACGGUGUAUCACAAAUUAGUAUGUACAAUCCCGUUUGCAAUAUAAAAAGACCCCCCAAAUUAUUUCCGAAAGGAAUAUAAAUAAAAAAUAAAAACCCGAAGCCGCCCAAAUUAUGUGACAAGUAAAGAUUAGAUCAUCAUCAAGUUCUAAUGACAGGACCUCUGUACGGAAUUCGUCGUAUCACAAAGUCAUCAGGCGGUUGAAAUUCCUCAAGCCAUGUCACGUCUGUGACCACUUCUCCAUCCACUUCUAAUUCACCUGCUCCAGUUCACAAUCCAAAUCAAUAUCACUAAAGGUUCUAAUAUGGUUCUGGGAUCGGGUUUUUGGAGAGCUUAGUUGUAUUACCUGGUAAGUCUUCUCUUCUGGAUUUCCGGAAGUAAGUGCAAUGCCGAUCAUGCUCUGAAGAGUAAGGUGGAGCUAAGAUGUCAAGAAUAGCACAAUGGGUGAUGGCUUUGAAACAGUGAAUGUUGCCACCACUUUUCGGAUAUAAUGUUGUUACUGGGCUUUGAGCCGUCAUCUCAGUAUCCUUCACCAGUUUAGCAGGUCUUGCUUCUUAUGAAUCAAAAUAGUUUACAAUUAGACCAGAAGAGUGAUUGGAUAAAAACUGAGAGAGUAACAGAAAGAAGACGGUUACCUUGUGAUGGAUCCUCUGGUUCGGUCAGUUGAGGCUCUAGCCAAUCAUAUGACUUCACAUGCAUUGAACCAUAAACGAGCUUGCUUAGCACGGUCAUGCCCGGAUGGUUAUGAAGAGGUAUCAUAGAAGAAGGUGGCAUACAGAAGAUUCCUAUCUGUUUUGACAACAGAGGCAAAAUGAACCAAGUGAGAGAUAACAUUGGUGGCAGUAUCAGGAAGAUAAAACACCCAACUAGAGACAGACUCAGAAUUGACUCGAACUGUGUUUACUCAUACUUUCUAGACCAUUUGUCAUAGGCUUUUUUGCAGACUUCAGGCUCAUGGCUUGAAUAGUUGGUUCCUGAGAUUCUCUCAAGGACCAUGUUUGGAUGCCCCCCUAUUCCCCUAAUUUUGAAUAUGCGGAAAAGGAGAAGAUUAAAUAUCCACUAAAAUUUUUGUCUCAGGAUUGGCUAUAGAGUGUUUUAACCUUGAACGGUAUUUGCAUAUUAUUCCAAGCAGAACCAUUGCUACUUAAACCUAGGAAGUUAAAAUGGGACUCUUAUGCUAUUUUGUAUCUGAAUCAUCCUAAAGUGGAUCACAAAAGAUUCACCCAAACCUUAAACAGCAUUCAAGACCAAUCAGCCAUAGAGUUUUCAAAUCAGUAUGCUUACAGAGAAACUGUCACACUCAUGCAAAUGAAGAUACUUUAUUGCUGGGGGAGACUGAUUACUUCCAUUGCGUUCAUUGAGAGGACCAGACCUGGACCGUGCCAAUUGAGCAUCCUGCUCAAUUCCAACAUCAGAUGGCUUGAUUUUCUCUGAAACAUAGAUUACAAAUAAGGUUGGUAAGUGCAACAGGGGACCACUGCAUUGAAGACUAAAGUGAGAUAUAUAUGAUUACUCAGUACCACCAACACCCUUAACUAAUACACUCUUAUUAGGUAAUUUGCAGAAUGAUCAGAUAAACGAAUUCACAUGUUGUGGGCCACAAAAUUCAUAAAAAAAAAAAAGUCCUUGUCACAAGCACUCAAAAAGAUAACAAUGAUCGGCCAAAUAACAGAUGCGAUAAACUGAAAACCAGUGGACAAAGAUUCAUUGAACAAUAUGUGCGUAUAAUCAUACCCAAGACAUUGCGAACCUUCUCCAGAGCAUCUUCUGUUAUUGGUCCGUCUGAAGAGAAAGACGCCUUGCAAGUAUUGUAAAGCCUCUGAGCAAAGUAAGGCAUGAUCUGAAUCCAAUUCAAAAGUUUCUCAAGCUAACUCAGCUAUGGUAACAGAGGAAAAGAGCCGUUCCCAGUUUUCUAAGACACAACUGAUGAUACUAAAACUUCCAAGACUUAUAACCAUUUCCUUCUUCUUCAACAUAGAAACAUUUCUGCCUGAAACAAGCCAAAGAAAAGUAAAAACAAGCUUGAUAUAAGAAAAAUGUACCGAUUCAACAAAUUAUUCUCAAUCAAAUGCGACUCGGAUGAGCAUCGUGCACAGAGGAUUCGGAACCAAACAUAAUCAGUGAAUCAUAAAAGCAUCAUUAUUACUCGAACUUGGGAAAUGAAUCGCACAUAUACAAAUUCAGAACAUCAAAACGUUAACCAUUUCGGUUUGAAAACUGGAUAUAAUCGAAUUGAGCUAUAUAAUCAGCAAAUUUUAAAGCAUUUACCAUCCACUAAUCUUAAGAAUCUCACAGAUGAAGGACAUGUAAUCUAAAUCAAUACAAAAUUCGAGCUCAAAAUCGGAGAUUCGAUUUUCUCAAAUUAACGAAUGCGUCGAGAGUUAAAACGGCAAGCAACAGAGCAAAAACCAAACGGAAUUGAAUACAAACACAGAAGAGAAUGAUUAAGCUAGAAUAGACCUGAGGUGAGAGUAAUGGUUGCGUAAGAUCCGGAAGAAAUAGAAUCAAUCUCGGUAGAAGAAGUUGAAGACGAAGAAAGAAGAAGAAGAAGAACAACAAGGCUCUAGAGUAAAAAAGAGUAAAAAAUUAAAAGAGAAUCCAAUAUUUUUAAUUUUGUUGCCAUUUGUGCCACGAGAUAUUUCUUCUCAACUUGGACCCCAUUUACUAAUUUACUAAAUCACCCCUUGGUAACUAAAAUUGCAAAAUAAACGACAUACCAACUCUUUUCUAAUACCAACAAACACUUCUUGGUUAUCGACCUACAAUAUGAAUUUAGAACAAAAGAUGAUAACUUAUCUUAUGCAUCUCUUUUAGUAAAUAGCGUGGAAGUUAUACUUUAAUGUACAAAGCUUAAAAUUGGUGAUAAAAAUUCAAAAUACAAAUUUUUGAUAGUACUUUCCCCUUGAUUCUUUAGAUAAAAAGGUUUAUGUAAUUUUGUUAAACCAAUUAUUAUCUUAGAAAAAUAAAAAAAAAAAGUAGCGUGAAGCUCACGCACGGCUUUUGCUAUUUUAUUCCCAGUUUUCUCUCAUAUUCUUUUCUAACUUGUCACCUGCAGAGAAAGAAAGAAGCCCUAGAUUUUGUCAAAAGGCGGUUGCAGAACAAAAAACCAUGGCCGGAAUUGGACCGAUAACUCAGGAUUGGGAGCCGGUGGUGAUCCGUAAGAAACCCGCUAACGCCGCUGCCAAGCGCGACGAGAAAACUGUCAACGCCGCUCGUCGAUCCGGCGCCGAUAUCGAGACCGUCAGAAAAUGUUCGUUCUUCUUUCCUUUCCCUAAUUUCUAGACCUAUCUUAGCUCCUGUUGAUGUUAUCCGGUUUGAUCUAGGGCUCUCUAGUAUAAUAUUUACUUGAUUUUGCUAUUGGAGGUUCGAUUUCGUUUUUGAUUGAACUAGCCUUCAAUGCCUUGGGGUUAUUGUGAUUCAUGAUAAGGAGAUCUUUUUAGGGUUUAUGUUCGUUGUCAAUUGAAAUUUCCGGUGUAUCUGUAUUGCUGAUUUAGUUGUUGUUCAUAUUAGGUCGAUAAUUUCUGCUGGUUUUAUUUUGGUUUUUAUGUGCAAUUUCUAGAUUUGGCUUCCAUCUAACAUUGAUUUUGUGUGUGUGUUGGGUUUAGUCAAUGCUGGAACCAACAAGGCGGCAUCAAGCGGCACAUCUCUGAACACAAAAAUGCUUGAUGAUGACACUGAGAACCUUACUCGUAAGUCUUAUCUUUAAUCAUUUGGUUUAUUAAUGGUGAAUUGAUUUCCCUAGUGUCUAGAAUAUGGUAGUGUCAGGCUCUGUAUCUAGGCUAAUGUGUUCAUUUCUUGUUUCAAAGUGUUCAACGUAUUGGAAAACUGUUCUUAUAUGAGUAGAGUCUGUCUAUCUUUCUGCCUGUGAGUCUUUGAUGGUUAUAGUGAGAGGAACUUUUUAUUGAUUGAUGUGUAUUGGAUGCUGAAGCUUCAUGUUUUGAAUUAUGCAAUUGUGAAUUCAGAUGAACGUGUGCCUACUGAGCUAAAGAAAGCCAUUAUGCAAGCCAGGACAGACAAGAAGCUAACCCAGUCCCAACUUGCUCAAGUAUAUUAUCCUUCUCUCUAUAUGUCCCUUAUUAUUACCCUAUUUUGUAACUCGGUUCAUGACAAAGUGUUUGUUUCUUUUUGUGUAGAUCAUCAAUGAGAAGCCACAAGUGAUUCAAGAGUAUGAGUCUGGCAAAGCUAUACCCAACCAGCAAAUCCUUUCUAAGCUGGAGAGAGCGCUUGGAGCUAAGCUUCGUGGAAAGAAGUGAGCCAAGUUCUACUGAUGUAGCAAGUAACAAGAAUCAAUGCUUUCGUCUAAUGCCGUAACUUUGCCAAGAAGAAUAUUUUCUGAUUGUAAGAAAGCAAAACCGUUUGAAUGUUUGUUUCGUUGAUGGAAUCUCUAUCUCAUAAACUCAUAUCAAUAUAAUAACUUGGGUCUUUUCAUCACAUAGUUGAACUGCUUAUUGUUGAUUUAUCAUGACCUUAGAGAAAAAUACAGAAAUACAAUUUAGAAUUCAGGUACAGGUUCUUCUUCAACGGGAGCAAGAACCCAUUCACCAUCUUCGUUCUUGAUCAGUCCUUUGUUCUUCUCUACCCACCAAGAUCCUGGCACCAAACACUCAGCUUUCAAGAACUCGCAUGACUUGUUCACUAAUGCAAUACUUCUCUUAACCAUCAGUUUAAACUCUCCUUUCUUCCCAUUCCAUCCAGCUACAACAUGUAACAUCGCCUGCACACAUACAUGGAAAAAAUAUGUAAAAGUUUCUACUCUGUAUCGUUUGAGUCAAAUUUGAAAGAUUCUUCUCACAGAUUCUUACCUGAAGAUUAUGCCAAUCCCCUGGAUUCCUUGAAUCGCUUAGGAACGGUGACUUCUUUGUAUCGAUCACAAAGUUUAUUCCUAUGUCCACAUACCCUAAAAGUCCCCCUGGGUAUCGAGUUAAGAGAUCAAUCGUGUUCCUUACAUGGAGGAUCUUUAAGUUCUUGUGACUCAUUACUUCGUCUCUGAACUCCUUGUUUCCUACCUGUGGACAACCAAAGACUAUAGCAGUGACCGGAACAUCAUCACUGGAACCGUUCUCAGCUAUAUCAUAGGCGGCCAGAACAGCCUCUGUAGCUCCCAAGCUAUGUCCAGUCAACACAAUGCUCGGUUUCUCGUCCUUAUACUUCAACAGAAGCUCCUUGAUCUUGGCUAACAACUGUGACCGUAGACUCAGCUUAGUGAAUUUCGAUUCGGGGUGAUUAGAAGUAUAGAUUGUGAGCCACCCGAGCAUCACCUUACACCCUUCUUCAUCUUCACUGUCACUAUCAAAAGUCGUACCUUCAACUACACCACCAGAACCAUCCUGCUCGGGUCCGUGCAGCAAGGGGUCAGCUGAAGUUGGCCUAGCACCCAAAACAUUGACCCACUCAUAGUUCCUGCUCGUUCCUCUCAAAGCUAUAUAGAUCUCACGGCGUCCUAAAGCCUUAGACCGUUCAUCAGACGUGACAGCAAUGUAGCCAAACCAGUUAGACUCACGGUCCCAAGAAUCUCUUGAUUGUGAUUGGAGAAGCAAACCUUCGGGGAGAGAAACACGAGCUGUGGCGUAGAGGAAGUUUACAACCUCGUAGUCGGAAGCGUUUUCGAGCAUGACCUUGUCGAAGAAAGAAGAUUUGCCGUAGCGGCUGGCUCCACAGUACUUGGAGUUUUGGUCGUUGACGAAGGCAUCGUAGGUGGCUUGACAAAAGUCGCCACAACGUAAGAUGAGUUCCCUAAGUGAUUGGUCUAAUGGGUCUAAGAUAGUGUCCCAAUUCUUUGAGCCUAAGAGUUCUUCCCAUGAUGUGGUUGUUGUAGCCAUUAGAGAGAAAUGGUGUGUGUAAGGAGAUAAUAAGUGACUCUUGACUCUUAAGUUGUUUAACUUUAUACAAAUGGUUGUGGACUGGUGAUGAUGCUGUCUGACCCACUUAUGUCCAAAGCGAUAAAAGGUUAUCACUGGUGUGGGAAUAUUAUUGGCAUAUAGAAUUAUCCACAAACUUGCACAUCAUUCUCAACCAUACAAAAAAGAGUAAAAAUAAACCCAAUCAAAUAGAGAGAAGAAAAUUCAACCAAAUCAAUCGAUACACACGAAAAGAGACUUAUUGUUUGUUUGCAACUAAUCAAACGCGACGACAGGCUUGUCUUCGUCGUCCGGAAUGGCCAUGACCCAAUCACCAGCCUCGGUCUUGAGCAUGCCUUUGUUUUUCGCGACCCCACCAACACCCAUCCUUCAAUAGUGCAAAUGAUUUGUUAACCAAUGUUAUGUUUCAGUUAAUCACUUUCAUCUCCAAUAUAUCCCCCUUUGAUAACAUUGCAUCCUAGACCCGUUAACUAAUAUAUGAUGGGCCAUAAUAAAUCAAAGAUAAUUCAAAGCCCAAAAAGUGUAAAAAAGCCCAACAAAGUGACGAUCAUACGACGAACGAUAUCAAGUUAAGCUAUCAUGUUCGUCGUCGGUGAGAUUUCCCGGCGAAGCGAAAGCAGUGUUUCUCCGGUGGUUCAGGCAUCAGUCUGAUUUCAGACAACACAUCUCAUAGUAAUUUGAUUCUAACUGGCGAUUUCACUCUAGCUCGACCAAUUGUAUCCAAUUCUCGUAGCUGAGAGCAAUGGCUCUGAUCGAUGUCGCGAUAUCUUGUCUCAAUUCGAUCCGCGAAGUAAGAAAUCCGAAUUCUCUUUUUUUUUUUUUUUUUUUUUUUUUUCAUCUGGUCUCAUCUUGUUACACGUUUUGAUCUGCUGCACCUGAAUCAUUACGAUUUCUCCAUGAUCUCGUUUUGCUCGUUUUUGUGUGUUCUUGGGAAAUGUAAAAGUACCUUACUGUAAUCCUGAACAAGUAAGGUUUAGAUAUUUUGGAAAUGUUUUGUUUUGUAGAUAGAAGAGGAUGUAAAAGAUGCGAUUGUGUAUAUCGAUGCUGGCUGCACAGAAAGUUUUCAAUUUGUAGGAGCUUUCCCUUUGUUCUUGGAACUAGGUGCUCGAGCUGUCUGCAGUCUUGAAAACAUGACUUCCUUAGAUGCGGUAAGCUUGUUACCGUUUCUUUUUUUCCUGCACAAUGUUGGCUAAGGAAUAUCCUAUCAAUCAACGGUUAGUGUUGGUAAUUGAGGAUCUAGAUAAAGAACAGGAAGAUUGUUAUCCUCAUACUUUUGGUAUGAAGGGGAUCUUUUUACCUAGAAAGUGAGAAAUCUUCUGAUUUAAUUUAUAUGAUGUGACUUUUGAUGCCUUGUGCUCUAGGUGGCUGAUUGGAAUUCAAAGUCUGAUUGUGCCAAGAGAAUUGUGAUUAUGACAUCUCGACUUCUCAAUGAUGCUCAUCGGUAUAUGCUACGGUGUCUAAGCACCCAUGAAGGUGUUCAGCGCUGCACCGUAUUCACAUCUAUUUCAGAGGUGCUCUUCUUUAACGUUAUCCUUGGUCUCAUUCUUUAUUUAAUCUCUUUUUUUUCUCUGGAUAUAUAUAUUGGCUUUUUUAUUUUCUAGAACAAUCACAAGCUAUUUGACUUAUCAACACUAGUGAUCGUUAUAUAAUCAAAUUCAAAGUGAUUGUAAUGUAUUCUCUAACUUAAUUUAGCAGUUCUGCUUCUCUAUGCCUUCUUCAAAAUAAUUUUCCAUCUAUAAGAGACUCUUCAGAAUAUUUGUUUCUUUUCUUGCGUCAUUGAAUAUUAAUCUGAACGUUGUACAGGGGUCUCACUCAGCUAUCCCUGAUUCACCUCUAGGUCCAGACGCGUAUCGAGAGUAUGAAACCUUACUUGUUCAGGAUUACAAUGAACAUACUAAGAAAAGCGACAAAAUAUCUAAAGACAAAGGGGUUUCUAAGUUCUCUUCUGCACUUGAAUCCCUUACUAUGGAGCCUAUUGAAAGCGAAAAUGUAGAUAUUUCAUCAGGUGGUGCACAAGGUUUGGUUGUCUCAGUUCACCACUUCCCCUUGAUUAUUUGUCCUUUCACUCCUCGAGCGUUUGUCUUACCUUCCCAAGGAUCAGUCGCAGAAGCGUCCUUGUCCCGUCAACAUGAGGAUUCUCUUAGUUUUGGUUUGCCUCCCAUAAGUACUGGAUCUAUGUCUGACACUGAUGAUGUUCCUCCUGGUGCAACUCUUACCGCACAUUUUCUUUACCAGCUGGCCCUUAAGGUAAACUAACACUGCAGUAACCGCUUUGAACUUAAUUCACGAUGUUCAUGAAGUACGUGAGCUAGAACACUAGAAGAUAUCUGUUUCCCUUGUUUGUCAAUAAUUUAAUUUCUUCUGUACGUUUUUCUUAAAUUUGUGACCAUGUCGUCACUUUUUUAAAAUUGUAGAUGGAGUUGAAGUUGGAAAUAUUUUCACUUGGUGACCAAUCGAAGAAUGUUGGGAAGAUUCUAACAGACAUGUCAAGUGUUUAUGAUGUAGCGCGUCGUAAGCGAUCUGCUGGCUUGUUACUUGUUGACCGCACACUUGAUCUUAUCACUCCCUGCUGUCACGGGGAUUCACUUUUCGAUCGUAUCUUUUCAUCUUUGCCUCGGGCAGAAAGAUUUUCUUCACAAGCACAGCUUAAACAAGGGGUCCCAAGCAUCAAUCGUCCUUCUCUUGAUGUUCAAGUGCCGCUUGGGGAACUGCUUAAUGAAGAACCAAGCAAGAUUCGGGAUUCUGGUCUUCCUGAAGGAAUUGAAGCUUUUUUACGUGGCUGGGAUUCAUAUACCUCUGCUCCACAAAAUGUAGGUUUGUUUAAUGAAUGUGACAAGAAAUCUACCACCAACUGGACUGAACUACUAAAUGGAUCUCUUGUCGCUACUGAAUGUUUUAGAGGAACACCUUACUUAGAGGCCAUGAUUGAUAGGAAAACGAAGGAUGGAAGUGUACUGGUGAAGAAAUGGCUUCAAGAGGCUUUGCGUCGCGAAAAUAUCUCUGUUAACGUGAGAGCUCGUCCUGGUUAUGCUACAAAACCGGAGCUCCAGGCCAUGAUCAAAGCAUUGUCCCAAAGCCAGUCGUCUUUGUUGAAAAAUAAAGGGAUUAUUCAGUUAGGGGCAGCUACAGCCGCUGCUCUUGAUGAAUCUCAAAGUGCCAAAUGGGAUACUUUUAGCAGUGCGGAGAUGAUGUUAAACGUAAGUGCUGGUGAUACGAGUCAGGGUUUGGCUGCUCAAAUUAGUGACCUGAUCAACAAAAGCGCUGUGGCAGAACUUCAAGCGAAGAAAAACGAGAAACCAGAUUCCUCAUCACGAGGGCUGCUAUCUUUUCGUGAUGCCCUGCUUCUUACAAUAGUUGGUUACAUUCUUGCUGGCGAAAAUUUCCCUACAUCUGGCUCAGGUGGGCCUUUCUCUUGGCAAGAAGAGCAUUUUCUAAAAGAAGCCAUUGUCGAUGCUGUUCUGGAGAAUCCAUCAGCAGGAAAUCUCAAGUUUCUUAAUGGGUUGACAGAAGAGCUUGAGGGCAGAUUGAAUCGUCUCAAGUCUGAGGAAACCAAAGAAAUUCCCUCUGAUGAUCAAUUAGACAUUGAUGCUCUUGAUGAUGAUCCAUGGGGGAAAUGGGGUGACGAGGAAGAAGAAGAAGUUGACAAUAGUAAAGCAGACGAGUCCUAUGACGAUAUGCAGCUGAAACUGGAUUUGCGUGAUAGAGUAGACAGCUUAUUUAGGUUCCUCCACAAGUUAUCGAGUCUAAGAACAAGGAAUCUACCAUUAAGAGAAGGCUCAUUGGCUUCAGAGAGCAGCUUUCCUGGCGAGCCUUCUGGAAACAAAGGGCUAGUCUACAGGCUUAUAACAAAAGUGUUGAGCAAACAAGAGAUACCCGGUUUAGAAUACCAUUCUUCAACUGUUGGAAGAUUUAUUAAAAGCGGAUUUGGAAGGUUUGGUCUUGGUCAGGUUAGUUAGACCUUUCUCUCUACCCAUGACUUUCAUUUUCCUACACAAGAUAUACAUUAAUGUUUGGCAAUGCUAUUGCAGGCAAAACCAAGCCUGGCAGACCAGAGUGUCAUUCUUGUCUUUGUCAUUGGAGGUAUCAACGGUAUAGAGGUGAGUUUCUUCAUCACAAAAGUCACCUCGCAUUCACGUUGUAGGGCUAUAUUUUUUAUAACUGUCUAUGUUUCCUCCAUUGUUAAGGUUUUGGAAGCUCAAGAGGCUGUGUCAGAGAGCGGAAGACCAGACAUUAACUUGGUUAUUGGAGGAACGACACUUCUAACCCCCGACGACAUGUUUGAGUUAUUGUUGGGACAAUUCAGCCAUUUUUGAUAUCUUGCAAACUGACCUCACUCUCAUAAUCUCUGUUGUUAGCUUGUAACAUUAGAAGAAACAGAAAUACCCAUGAAUAAAUUAAUGAUCGAAUGUUAAAAUCUACAAAACAAUAGUUCCAUUUUCAAGAGAUAAGAAAAGAUUGGUUAUUAAUUGUGAAUAAGAGAUUUUUCAAAAAAAAAUCUCAAAUUAUUUAUAUCUUUGGUCCCUAAAGUUUUAUAACAUUUACAGAAAAGCUUUUAAGUUAAAAAUCAGAAAUCUCCUUAAACCCCCAAAAUCACAUUUCACACGAAAAACCUCGAGUGAGUGAAGAAACAAUGGCAGCUAUGAAGCUCCUACUCUCUCAAGCUCGCCGCCAAGGUCUAAUCAAACCCUUUUCGUCUCCAUUUCAACAAAUCCCAAGACUCUUCUCUUCAUCUUCAUCUUCAUCUUCAUCUUCAUCUUCAUCAUCCGAUUCGAAUCCAUCUCCCGAUUCAAACGAAUCUCGCAAAAAGGCUGUUACAAUCGAGCCAGUAUCGUACGCGGCCAAACCCAAGGAUCAGAAAUCUGAACCGAAAAAUGUUGAAUCGACGGAGAACCUUCAGUCUCCAGAAUCAGCGAACUGGACUCGUGAAGAAAUCCGAUAUGUGAAAGACUCUCCUUCGAUCAAUCCGGUUUCUUACGCUCAGCGUGUGGCUCCACUUCCGGAGGAUCGUGUCGCCGGUGAGAAUGAAGGAGAUAGAACUCCAGAGGAGAUGGAGAGGGAGAGGAAGAGGAUUGAAUUAGAGAAUCGAGCUAGAAGAAGGUUUUUAAGAGCUAAUGCUGUUGAAGAAGAUACUUCUUCACUUCCUUUGCCAACUUUGCUUAAACCAGAGUUGAAGCAUGGAAAGAAACCUAUUUUCGAUCUCAUGGAGGCCAUUAGAGAGAUUAAGGUCAGGAUUCUUAAUAUGAGCUGCCAUUGUAAUAGAAUGGAAGCUACACUAUUUAGGGUUCUUUUAAUUUAUUUAUUUUGUGUCAAAGGAUUAAUUUUUUUGCUUGUUUCGUAGUUAGGGGAUUUCAAAUGACUAUUAUAAAGGAAGCUAUGAUGAUUAGGAUCAUAUGACUAUAUAAUGUGAAACAUAAGGAGUCUUGGAAGAAUUGUUAGACGUUGUGGAUUAGUUUAGAUCAUGCAAGUUUUGUGUAAUGGUGGUACUGUGAGAUUUGUGGAUUCUGUAAACUGGUAAUAGUUGUUGUUGCUGAGUUGAUUUACAAGUUGAGUGAGUGAGGGCAAUGCAUCCCUUUUGUUCGUAUGGUUUUCAUUUCUGAUGCUGUUUUUAUCAAUGGUUCAGGGCAAUGCCAAGGCGAAAUUUGAUGAAACUCUUGAGGCGCAUGUGAGAUUGGGCAUUGAAAAAGGAAGAUCUGAGCUGGUAUGUGAUGCAUUUAUUUUCUCUGGAAAUACAUUAAUUUCUCUAUCCUAUUCUUAAUAAAAAGAUCGCGUUCUUAGCAUUUUGGUUGAUUGCCCCUGGCUUUAUCUCUAGACUGACUGCUAUCACUGUUUAAAUUGCAGAUAGUUCGUGGUACUUUGGCUCUACCCCACUCUGUUAAGAAGGUAAAAGAAAUGCAUUUGUAAUCCAUAAUCGGAAUUUCUAUUUUACCAGCCACUAAUAUAAUACAAGAAAUGAUCUUCCUUGUUCAGGAUGUGAAAGUGGCUUUCUUUGCCGAGGGAGCUGAUGCAGAGGAUGCAAAAGCUGCAGGAGCUGAUGUCGUUGGUGGUCUUGAGCUUAUUGAAGAGAUCUUGAGUAAUGAACCAAUGCAUUCUACUUCAAUUCAUUCUGACAUCUAAUUGAACAUGCUUGCAUUUGGCUCUGCCACAACUUAUCUCAUUUCCUGAGCAAUCUUUUUGUUUAUCGAAUUAUGUUCCAGUGGUAGAUUAUUUAUCUGUGUACCUUAACUCUAUCUGCAGAAAGUGGCAAGAUUGACUUUGAUAGAUGUCUUGCAACUCCAAAAAUGAUGCCCCGUGUUUACAAGGUUCUUGGAUUUGAGCACUUGUUUAAAUUCUUUGGAACAUGAUGUUGCGAUAUCUUCUCACAUAACAUACAUAUGGUUUGUGCUUAUUUGCAGAUAUCAAGAAUUCUUAACAAUCAUGGUUUGAUGCCAAACCCCAAAGUGAGUUUGAUUCUUUCACUCAGCAUCUUACUCUAAUGUAUCAGUAAGUAUGCUUACCUUUUUCCCUUAAAUGAAUUUGAACGAAUAUUAUAUUUGUUGUAGCAAGGUAGUGUGACCAAGGAUGUUACGAAAGCAGUCAAAGACGCAAAAGCUGGACAUACCAAAUUUAGAAUGGAUAAAACGUCUAUUCUUCAUGUGCCACUUGGAAAGGUGACAUCUCUUCCCAAAGACUUGAAGUUUACCUGAAUUUCAUUAACUUCAUUCUUAAUAAAGACUACUUUCCAAAAAACGUCCACCAGAUGAGCUUUUCUGAAGAGGCUUUACGAGAGAAUGUUGGUGCGUUUAUGAACGCCCUUUUGCUAGCGAAGCCUGCUGGAUUGAAAAAGAGUAAGUCAUACCGGGAGCUUAUAAGUUUUGUUGAGAGAUGAUUGUUUGGCUGAUUUGCUCUUUACCUUUCUCCUGCAGCUUCAAAAUAUGCUGGUUAUGUGAAUGCAUUCCACUUAUGCAGUACGGUAAGCUUACAAAUCAAACCCAACGUCUCCUUGUAGUAACAUUUUUGGAUUCCAUUAAACCUAAAAGAAUUGCUUUUUGCAGAUGGGAAAGGGUUAUCCAGUAUCGAUACAGUCGUUAUCCAGAGCAGCGGACCUCCAUACCAAAUUGCAGCUCAAGUGAGCUAGUGGAGUCCAAAAGAUUAAUCUUAAUCAUCCCGUAAAAGUUUUUUUUACUGUUUUCCAAAUGCUGAAUCUUUGAAAACAUUAUGAUUUGUUGUCUCUUAGGUAGUCUAUUGCUCAAUUGAUCGAAUUGGCUUCUGUCCUUUUCUCCUUUGUUUUUGUUGUUUGAGAGCUUAUCAUCCACUUUCCAUAGAGGCCCUUCACUUGAAUAAAACAUCAUAAAUUUUUGUCCCCUUGUGUGUUUUUUCCCGUUACAACUAUCCUUUCAGAUAAGAGUAAUCACCCACAAUCUAUAACCAAAGUUGUGGCAAUUAUGAUUUCUAGCUUCAUAAUCAAUGUAAUGAAGCCCACGCCUUCGCGAGUGUUUUAUUUAAUUAUGAACCGUGUCGUUUAGUAGCCCACAUGAAUCGGAGCCGUUAUUAGCCCACAUGAAUCGGCGUCGUUUAAUAGUCAUACGACUCGCCGUCGUUUUAGUAGUAGCACACGACUAGGCGCGUCUUUUUUAUUAUAUACUCGAAGAGUCUUUUUAAUUGCACUGCAUCACAUGUUACAUUUUCGACGUCUCUUCUUUCGGAUUGCCAAAACCCUAAUUGGGGACUGAAUUUGGAGAGCUUUCGUGAAUUGAAGCCGCCGCCUCUGUUGCAAUUAGCAAAGGUAUCUCUUUUCUUUGGGUAUCGAUGGCUUGAUCACUAUAGACAAUGGAUGGAACAGCAAAAAGAACGAAACUUUGAAGCUUAUCAACUCUGUUGCUGCCGUUCCUGAUUCUAGCUGUUGAAAAUUUAGUUUUUUGUUCAGUCUGUGUUUGAGGGUGUUUAGAGUAAUUAUGGAUAGAAUCAGCUCUUUACCAGAUGAGAUUCUUGAGCACAUUUUAUCCUUUCUCUCCACAAAAGAGGCUGCUUUAACCUCAUCGCUCUCUACGAGGUGGAAGAAUGUGUUUGUUUUUGUUCCUAGUCUUCACCUUGAUUACGCUAGACAACAUGAAAAUCCGAGAGAAUUCAUUGAUUUUGUGGAUUUUGUGAAUACUUUGUUCAAUCGGAAAGGCAAUUCUCCUAUAAAGAAGCUUGCUUUAAAGAUUCAUCUCAAAGAUAAUCAAUCUCUCCAAAACCAAACUCAUGUUCAGAGCUGGAUACACAGAGUCCUUUCUCGUGGUGGUGUGACGGAUCUUGAUCUCUUUAUCACUUUCAAAGGAAAAUUUCAACUUGUGCCUUUGUUGAUCUUCAAGAGCAAUACACUGGUUAAGCUGAGACUAGGACGUGGUUUUACAAUCAAGCUUUGUCAUGAAAAUGUUUAUCUUCCUAUGCUUAAGACUUUAUGUCUUGACACUGUUGAUUUUGAUGGAGAUCAUAAUGUCUUUGAAACUCUUCUUCCUCGUUGCCCUCUGCUUGAAGAAUUGGUUCUUGAGGAUCAGCGAUGGAAACAAUGGUGUGGUUCUGUGUCUUCUCCAUCUCUAAAGAGACUACGCAUCCGAUUCUUUCAUAUCCCCAUUAUUUCGCUUGAUGUUCCCGGUCUUGUCUACUUGGAACUUUCUUGUAUAUUUGGGAGCAAGUAUGCAAAUGUUAACUUGGAUUCCCUCGUUGAGGCUAGACUCAAUCAUUGGGUGGAAGAACAAGAAUUACGGAAACUAAGAGAUGGGUCUUCUCAUCUAGUUCCUGCUGACAUGAUGGAUCUCAUCACUGGAAUCAGAAAGGUUAAGGUUCUUCACUUAACUAGUGAUGCUCUUGAGGUCAGUCUGCUAUUCCUUUUUUAUUGUUCUAGUAAAGAUCUUUUUAUGUUACAGUCUUCUGAUGCCAAAACUGGAUUCGUUUAUUGAGGUUCUGACUCAAAUAUUGUAUUAUUACUUGAGCUGAUUUGGUUUUGGUUGCAGCUGUUUUACUUCUCCGGUCAAGAAUUACCCAUGUUCGACAACCUUGUUUAUCUAUCGAUCGCGAGUGACAAGAAGCAAGGAUGGCAAAUUCUGCCACUUCUGAUCAAGAACUCUCCAAAUCUUGAAACACUUGUCUUCAAGGUAUCUCAUGACAUAUAUAUAUACAAACCUAUCCUCAACGCCAUAUAUACCAAUAUGUCUAUAACUUUGUCUCCUCUAUGCUUCAGGGUCUAGAGCACUACACAACUAAACAAUGUGGGGAUGCAUGUGUUUGUUCUGGCAUUUUGGGGAAGAGCUCGUCUUGUCUGUCAUCAUCUCGAGUAAAGGUUCUGGAGAUAUGGAGCUAUCAAGGAACUUCGAAAGAGCUGAAACAAAUGGGGCAUUUCCUAAUGAAGUUACAAUUUCUUGAGCUGGUGAAAAUUCGUGCUGUAAGCAACCUCCAAGUGCCCAUUGAUAUACAGUAUCUUUUGAAGCUUCCAAGAGCUUCUUCAAACUGCAAAAUCCAAGCCAUAUUUUAACUAAAAGACUAUUGACUAGUACUUAUGGUUUUGCACAUUCCUUUUGAAUCACUCUUAAGUCAUGGAUGUUAAGUCUUUGUAUUUGGUUUAUAAACGCAGAUUUAGAAACAACAUUCAUGAACUUUAAGCAACUUGAAGCAAUCAUCGUAUUGUAUUAUCACAAUCAAAUACUAAUAUUUCGAGAUUUGACAAUAACACUGAUUAUAUACAUUAGUGAAACUCAUGGACUUAAUCUUUGCUAACUAAGUCAUGAUCAUAGAUGCUGAUUGAAGAAUCUUCAUUCGACUCUCUUCCUUAAACCUUGCAUUCUCUUUAAUCCUUUGAACCUCCUUCUGAAUCUUCUCACUCCCCAUCUCUUGUCUCUCCAUUGUCACGAGUCUCUCCCCAUUGAUCUCACCGAUUAACACUUUCCUCCUCAAAUCCGGAUUGUUACUAUCUCCCAUGUUGAACAGAAUCGACCGGUACUUUGCUUUAUGAGGUCCCAUGAAACAACCUAAUUUCUCAAACAUUGCAGAUUCCACUGAAACAGCCACGACAGAAGGAUCACAAGCAGUGACUCGUGUCUUCAUCUCUGUGUCAACAAUCUCAGAAGCGACUUUAACCAGAGAUGUUUGAAGAAUCUCACGCACUUUGUCUCGUUUCGAAUCUCCAGUCUUCUUCAUCGUUGAAUGCGUCGGAAUCUUCACCUGAGUUUCUCUAUCGUGGCUCUUUUCUCUACCUGAAGCGUAAAGAAUCUUCAUCCAAAGAUCCCGAAGAAGCCUUCCUUCCGAUCGAAUAUGAGGGUUUUUGUGAUCGUUCAAGAAACUCAAACCCUUCCCCAUGGAGGUUUUGGAGACCACCUCACAAGCAAGUGAUGUAGGAGCGUCCUUCAAACGAUUUCUAGCGUCCACAAACCUCGAAACCUUUGACGAAUUCUUAACACCUUUCACAGACUUAGCCGCUCGAAGUGCUGCCUCGUACAACUCCAAGAACUCCUGCUUCUGCAUCGUUGUUCUCAGUUCUGAUCGGUCUUUUGUGUGUGUUUGUUUGCUCUCUCUUUCUCUCGACGUAACUAGGGUUUCAAAGCAACGCAAGAGGAGAUAAUUUGGUAAUUGUUGGAAUGGUCUCUCUCUCUCUCUAUCUGAUGAGUUUAUAUAAAGAGAUAAGAGAGUUAAGAGCAUCCUUAUCAAUAGGUUGUUAACAAUAUCAUAAGAACUAUCAAAAUAUUAUAUUAAACAAAAUAAGAAUAAAAAAAUAAAAAAGUGUGUUUAAGAGAUGAAAAAUGGCUCUUAGCUAAGAGUUUUUUUCUUUAUUCUCUCCUUUUGUAAGAGCCUUUCUAAUAUUUAAACAUUAUUUUGUAUAUCAAAAUUGUUUAGAACUUUAUGUAAGAGUCCAUUGAUAAGGAUGGUCUUAUAAACUCCAACACAAUAGCAUGUAGGUUUUGAAUCUUAAAAUAAUCUUUCAUCCAUAUUCCAUCCUAGAAAUUAAUAUUUAUUCAUGAAAUUUGUAAUUCUCAUCGUUUGAGAAUUUCUUCCAAUCUUAAAACAUAUAAAUACAUAGAAAUUUCCAUGACCAAAUUUUUUCACUUAUUUAUAAAUGGCACUGUGGCAUAUAAAAUUCAUUAUUUAGUAAUAUAAAUACAUCACACAAAAGUAUAGGCAAGCUUGGGUGGCAAGAAACCAGAAGGCGGCGGUACAGAAUUUUUGCAUAUAAACACAUCAGAUUUUAAUGCCCAAAUUUCUCUCAUUUUCUUGCUUCGAAACCAAAUAUUCAAAGAGAGCGAGAGAGAGAGAUAGAUCAAGAAAGAAAGAGUGAUGCAGAAGCAAGAGUUCUUGGAAUUGUUCAAGGCCGCACAACGAGCGGCUAAGUAUGCGAGUGAUGAGAAUUCUCCAGAGGUCUCGAGGUGUAUCCAAUUCAUGAAGCGUUUGAAAGAAGCUCCUGCAUCUCUUGAUUGUGACGUGGUCGUUAACACAAACUCCAUUGGAAACGGAAUCCGUUUUCUCCGAGAUCACAAAAACCCCCUAAUUCGAUCUGAGGCAGAACUUCUUUCAGAUCUUUGGCUCAAGUAUCUUUACGCCACCGGUAGAAAACAGAAGUCGACAGAUUCUGUUUAGUUAAACAGAUUCAGAGAAAUUCAGAUUCAGGUUUUGAAUGUAACUGUAUUAAUGUGUUAGAGACUUGGGUUUGAAUGUAUAUGACAUUAUAUUACUGCUUCUUAAUAUGGCAGAUUUUGAAUAAAGAAAAGGUUUCACGAGAGAAGAUUAGAACACUAAUAUGUAUGACAAAAGCUUUCUUCUUGAUUCAAUGAAGUCACACUCAUUUCAAAUCCAUAAAUAAUAAAGCUUACUUAAGUACUAUAGUUGGUUAAACUCACAAUAAUAUGACAAUGUUUUGCUACUAAUCACAUCACUUGGAUCAGUUAUUUUUUGUUAAAACCUUGACUUGGAUCUUACACUUUGAUGACGCUCUUGGAAGCAUCAUAAGAUUCCUCAUUUCCAUGGUGGUUUGCAAGUUAUUACUGUUGUUUACCACGCAAAUUUUCACUAGCUCAAGACACGGUAACUUCUCCAAGAAAUGCUUCAUUUGAUUCAGCUCUCUUGUCGUUCCUUGAUAGCUCAAUAUCUCCAGCACCUUCACUUGAGAUGAUGAUAGGCAAGAGGUUAUGCUCUCGUCGGUAUCAUAGCAAACACAUACAUCCCCACAUCUGUUUGUUAUGUAGUGAUCGAGACCCUGAAGCAUAACAAAGAAAAAGAGUAAUGUUAACGACCUACCAAUAUAUAUAUGGUGUUUAGGAUGUGUUUGUGACAUGAGAUACCAUGAAGAUGAGGGUUUCUAGGUUUGGAGAGUUCUUGAUCAGAAGUGGCAGCAUUUGCCAUCCUCUUGCCUUGUCAUUCCCAAUAGAUAGACUAACAAGGCUGUCGAACAAUGGCAUUUCUUUACAUGAGAAAUAAAGCAGCUUCAACAAAACACAAUGUGUUAGUCUGUUGUCACUCAAUAACACAAAAGUUGAAAUAAAUCAUCAAAAGCCCCAAGUGAAUCUCAUUCUCGAUAAGCAAAAAAAAAGAAGAAUGUUAUUUAUAAGGAAAGAACAAUAUAUAGAGGAGGCUGACCUCUAGAGUGUGGCUAGAUAAGUGAAGGAUUCUAACAUUUCUGAUUCCAUUGAUGAGAUUUCUCAUAUCAGCGGGAAUGGAACCGAGAGAUCCAUUUCUUACUCCCACCAUUCUUGUUUCAUCCAUCCGAAGAUUGAGUCUAGCUUCGAUGAGGGAAUCCAACUUAACAUUAGGAUACUUACCCAAAACAUAACCAGAGUGUUUGUAGUAGAUAAGAUUAGGAGCAUCUAAUGAAAUACUAGUAAACUUGCGAUCAAAUCGGAUGUGUAGUCUCUUUAGAGAUGGAGAAGACACGGAACAAGUCCAAUCUACACAUCGCCGCUCCUCAACAACCAGUUCUUCGAGAACAGGACAGCGAGAUAUAAGAGUUCCAACAACAUUAUGACCUCCAACAAAAUUAACUGAGUCAAGACAUAAUGUCCUAAGCAAAGGAAGAGAAACAUCUUGAGAAAGCUUGAUUGUAAAACCACGUCCUACUCUCAGCUUAACCAAUGUCUUGCUCUUAAAGAUCAUUGCAGGCACUGGUGGAGAUUUUCCUUUUAAAGUAAUGAACACAUCAAGAUCCAUAACACCAUGGUCAAGAACGUUGCAAAUCCAACUUUGAAUGCGAGAUGAAUCAGUGCCACCUCGAACACCAACAUGACUCUUUAGAGUGAGCUUCUUUAUAGAAGAACCACGUUGCGUAUCUAGCAAUUUGUCAACGAAAGCCAUGUAAUUUCUGUGAAUCUCAAUCCGGUUUUGCUUAGUCUUAGGCACAGAUUGACGAUCAUCAAUAUCAAGAUUGGAAACCAAAACAAACAUGUUCUUCCACCUCUUAGAGAGUACUGAGGUUGAAACAGCUUCUUUUGUGGAGAUAAGAGACAGAAUACGCCCAAGAACCUCAUCUGGUAGACGGCUGAUUACAUCUUUAGCAUUCAUUGAUACCAAAACCUUAAAACCACAGCAAUUGGAUUCAGAAACAGUAACUAGACAGAGUUGAUGAG
rnacentral:lncRNA from 1 species